rnacentral:lncRNA from 1 species
UGGCGGAGGAGGUGCCAAAGGCGGUGGAGGAGGAGGGGCCAAAGGUGCUGGCGGCGGAGGAGCCAAAGGUGCUGGCGGCGGAGGAGCCAAAGCUGGUGGUGGAGGAGGAGGGCGAGCGUCCUCGGGUGCGAGUUCUGGUGGAGCCAUGAAGGCCCCUGGAGGAUCAGGCGAUACAAUUUCCAGGGCGGCUUUCGAAAGCAACCCUCAGGGCUACUUUCAGGGCCUCCACUCUAGUAGCAAAUAGUAGUAGCUAGGUCCUUGACGCACGUACGUACGUACUAUGUAUGUGUAACAUAUAUGUAUAAAGAAGUACCAGUAUACGUCUGUAGUACCGGACUACUACUGGUACCGGUACGUCGUAUUCUAGCUUGGUUUUGUUAUACGGCGUUUGUAUGUGCACGUAGUUGUAUGAAAAUAAAAAGAGUACGUACCUCUGGACUGGUACAUGCUCUUGCUUUCUGUUCGUUUUUUGGCUGUCUUUCUCAUAGACAAGUCUUUGCAUACAAGAACUAUUUCGAAAGCGGAUAGCAGCUAGCUUAGAAAACCGAUUAGCACUUACUAGGGUUUGCACUUUGCAGAGGGACUCUUCCAGGAUGACAACAUGCAACAACAACAAUCAAGUCAACAACCGAUAUUUUCAUUUUUAUGUCAAUUUUUUUGUUUUUUCCCUCAGUCAAUGUGCAUUCAGAAGAAAAAGCUCAUACAUUGAAGUUGAAACGAAUUGACGAAACCCCAGAUGAAAGCUUCAUAGGUAAUAGGAAAAGCCGAGUAAAUCACAACGGUCCGCUAAUAAUCAUAGACUUGAAAUUCGCAUAAGUGCAUGCACUGUGGCUAUGCAUUAUAUCUGACCCUAUCAAUAUAUAAGCACCCUCCAAGAGCAGAAAGCUACAAUAUCAAUUGGGGUUAGUCAGCACUCAGCACAAAGCGCGAUCACUCUGUUAGAGCUAGGUACAAAUAUGGGUGCUGCCGCUGCUGCAUGUGUAGUUACUGGUGCCCUUGUUUUAGUACUUGUAGUGUGUGCAAUCUAUGGAGAUUCUGAAGUAGCUGUUCCAUCGGGCUCGUCUGCGGAUCAAACGAGAACAAAGAAGCCAUCGAGGAUGAGACUACAUGAUGAAUAAGCUAGCGGUUUGGAAUGGCUGCCAUGCGUUCAUAUAUUAAGUUAAUGUUCCCAGUCUCUCUGCUUUCUGCUAAUGCAACGCCUUAGCUUGGAUCCUAGAUUCCUAGUGUUAUUUUCAUUAAUUUUAAUGUCUUGUUUUCUCUAUCGUAUAUUCAUACGUGAAAAUGAUGAUAGUUGUUGCUGGGCUACAUGAAGUGCUUAUUUACAUCGUAUAUAUGCGUACGGCGUGCAAGCAAGUAAAAAAGAAACACAAAAUAUUUACAUCUCUAAACAAAACAAAAUGUUGGAAAUCUCUUAACUACGACUCGUCGAAUUUCCUGAACCAAUGCAUGGAUGCAACACCAGUCUAUUCAAUCAGGUCAGUUUGAUCUAAGCCGGCCACACGAGGAACUACAUAAACGACACGUCGAUAUUACUUAGAGACUUAACCAAGAAGAUAGCGAAGGGGAUAAGAACCAUGUACAGUAACAUGAUAAUUUUGACAGCUUACGUGUUUAUCAUCGAGGCGAGCCAAGACAGUUACACGAACAAGGUAAAUGGAAGGCCAAUAUAUUUCUGCAACGCGGUUUAUAUAAAGCGCUAGCUUUAGCCACACACAAAAAAAAAAAAAAAAAACAACUAGCUUUAUGCCUUUAUAUAAAGCACUGGCUUCUCCGAAACUCUAGCUUUGAUCCAACGCUAGCUACCAUUAAUAUAAAGCACCACCGUCCGAGUACAUAUCCUUCACCAGAUCUAAGUGAGUGAACUGUGAACCUGCAUUUGGAGUGCUUUAUUACAACAUGGGAGGUGUCUUGGGUACUGGUGGUGGUUGGGGCGGAGGAUGGGGUGGUGGUGGCGGAGGACAAACGUCCUCGGGUGCCAAUUCUGGUGGAACCAUGAAGGCCCCUGGAGGUUCAGGCGCUACAAUAUCCAGGGAGGUUUUCGAGAGCAACCCUAAGGGCUACUUUCAAGGCCUCCGCUCUGGUAGCAAACAGAAUAAGUAGGUCCUGGACGUGCGUACGUACUAUGUAUGUGUAACAUAUAUAUAAAUAAGUACCAGUAUAGGUCUGUAGUAGUACUGGACUACUGGUACCGGUACGUAGUACUGUAGCUUGCUUUUGUUAUAUGGCGUUUGUAUAAUUGUAUGUGUAUAUGUAUGAAAAUGGAAAGAGUACGUACCUCUGGACUGGUACGUGCUCAUGAGCUUGCUACCUUUGUUUUUCAUAAUUAGAUAAUUUGUUACUCUAACUAUUAAAUAUGUUAAUACACUACCUUUUUAUAAAAUUUAUUAAUUUAGGCUUUCAAGAUUAAUUAAUUUAUUUAUUAAAAUUUCAAUAUCGACUAACUUUAAUCUGAGCCAAAUCUUCUUCAUGUAAAAUCUACUUUAUUUAGAAUUUAGUAAUUCAUGUUUGGAUAAAAAAAAUUAACAAAAAUAUAACAAGUUGGCUAAUUUUAAAAGGGUGUUUCUAUUGUCACCCUACAAACCACUUUGUUCACCUCACGUUCUUUUCACACCCCGUUUAUAUAUUUUUAAUUAUAAGUCUAUUUUGUUCACCCAUUUACAGUACCUAAAAUACUCUUUUUCUAUUUUUGCUUUGUUCACCCUAAAUUCUUUUUUCACCUUACAUAUAUUUUUUUCAAUUUCAGAUUUGCUCUUUCACCCAACAUUCGAUCUCUUCUCAACCCGCCUAUAUAUUUUUUAAUUUUAAUUUUAAUUUACUUUAUUCACCGAUUUACAAUAUACACAAUAUCAGUCUAUUCCAAUAGCCAUUGAAUACCAAAAACAAAAUGAAAUUGAAGAAAACCAUAAGAUUAAUAUCAUUUGGCCGGGUAAGUCGAAUCACAAACUUAAUAAUAAAAAUCAUAUUAAAGUAUAAAUCUGAUCAAUUAAAGAACAAGAAAAAACUCUCAAACUUAACAACUCAUUAGUAUCUGUGGAUAUCAAAAUGCACAAUAUCUGUAAACUCUACUUUGAAAAAGCUCUGACGCCGAUGAAAAAAAAAUUCGAAUAUAUAUAAGUGAUCGAUUAGACAUGAAAAUUUACAUACAAAAUUGAUAUGAGAAAUAAUAAAUAAAGGGAUAGACGAAGCAUCAACAAAGAAAAUAUAUAUAUAUAUAUAUAAACAAUUCACCUCAUUUUUAGUUGAAUGCUAGCUAGUGUCUUCUUCACACUUCAUAGAAAGAUCGAAUAUGAUAAAUUCUGGGUAUAAGGUUUCUGAAAUACGUGUUUAUCUAAAAAUAAUAAUUUGUAAUUUGUAACAACUUAUUGUCCCUUGCUAUAAUUUUACAUUAGGGUAUAUUAGUCAUUCAAUAAAUCAACAACGUGUGGGGUGAACAAAUUGGUUUAUGGGGUGGCAAUAGACGCGCCCUUUUAAAAAUAUAAAGUAGUAAAUUAGUAUAACUAAUAGUUAGGGUAGCAAAUUAGCUAAUUAUGAAAAGUUAGGGUAGUAAAUUGACUGAAAUAAAAGUUCGAGUAGCAAAUUGAUAUAUAUUAAGGUGAAAGGUAGAGUAGUAAUUUGGUUAAAACCUCUUUUUUGUUUUUGUCUUUUUUUUCCUUUUUCUUUAUUUGAAACGGUUUUACCAUAAGUUGAAACGAAACCAUAUCAUGUAAUAGGAAAAGUCGAGUUGAGUAAAUCACAACGCUAGCGGCUAUUAACCAAGCGCAGAUUUGCAGACUUUAAAUUCCCUUUACUGGGAAUAUGCAUCAACUUUUACCCUAUCAAUACAUAAGCACCUCCAAUUAAGUACAACAACUACAGUAUCAAUCGGGGUUAGUCGAUCAGCACACUUCACCUUGAUAUAUAUUAGAUGCAAAAUAAUAAUAUGGAAGCUGCAGAGGUUGUUGCACUUGCAUUAGGCGCCAUUGGCGCCGUUGCACUGUUGGUGUGGGGUUUCUCCGGAGAUUCUGAAUCUGCUGCAUCUCAAGUACUUGUUUCAUCGGGGUCGUCUUCGGAGCCAAAGAGAACAAAGUAGGGCUGGGCACUUAGUACCGGAAUCCCAAUCCCGUACCGGUCCCGUCCCGAAAGUUAGCGGGACAGGACGAGAUAGGUUUUGAAAAUAGUAAUCCCGUCCCGUCCCGUCCCGUCCCGUUUUAACAUUACCAUAACGGGACGGGAUGGGACGGGACUAUCCCGAAAAAUCCCGUCUCGUCCCAUAAUAUUAGAAUACUUGAUUUUAUUCAUUUUAUACUUGAUUUUUGGGUUGCAUGGUGUUACAAUGCACUCAACCACACUUAAUUUGGUCUAAAAUAAUACUUUUAAUUUCAUUCAUGUUCUUUUUUUUGCUUGUGUGAUUUUGGAUAUUUUUAGUUGUUGUUUGAGGGUUAAUUUUUAAUGUGGGAUGUUUAGUACUUUUAAAGUGGGAUGUAAUUUAGCACCUAUGCACCUAUGUUCUUGUUGUAUUUUAGUACUUCUAAUUUCAUCAAUGUUUCUUUUUUUUUGUUAUGUGUUUUGGAUUAUUUUUUUNNNNNNNNNNNNNNNNNNNNUGCUUGGAGUUUCUCAACCCGUUUUUCCACCCGUGGUGGUGUUUGAUAAUCAAUUAAUUUGUUCUUGAAAAAAAAAAAAAUUUGUCGGGAUCGGGACGUACGGGACAGAUUUUUAAAAACACCUUCCCGUCCCGUCCCGUCCCGUUCUUUUAUUUUCGGGACGGGACGGGAUUCACCAAAUCCCGGCCCGUCCCGUCCCGUGCCCAGCCCUAGAACAAAGAAGCCACCCAGCAUUCGUGAGCUUGAGGGAAUCGUAAGCGCUUUGGGACGUCGUUGAUGCCAUGGAUGCAUAUCAAUAAGUUAAUAAUGUUCUUAAUUAAUGGUCUAUGUUUUCUGCUAAUGGAACCCCUUAUCUUGGAUCCUACUCGCAUUUUGUCUUGCUUUUCUUCGUUUUAAUAUCUUCUUUUCUCUACUAAGCAGUGGUACAUCCAUCAAUCAUAUACGUACACACAAUGAAAUUAAUUUAUAUAUGCAUUUAUUUAUAUCAUUACAAAUUAUAAGUUUGAUUCCAAGUCAUAAACUUGGAUCACGGAUCAGUCAAAUGGGAUUGGAACCCUAAACCACAAUCCGUACCCCAUCUCACUUUAUUUUUCAUUGUUAACAUAGUUGGUAAAGUUUGUACUUUUAUUUGAUUAGUCAUCACGGGAGCACUUCUGUUGCGGACAGUUGUGGACUCAAUACAGAUUUUCAAACUAGGCUGUUGGAUUGUACGUAUGAAUGGUUUAUAUUUUAAAAAAAAAUACAUGUCUUUAUCAUGUGACUGCAUCACACAACAAAUCUUUCUCACUCCUCUUUCUUUGUUUUCUGGAAUUCUGGGGAAAAUUAACAGAUUUUUCUCUUUCCUUAACAAUAUCCACUUCAAUCCCUCCUUCACUUAUGGGCUGCUAUUACAGUUUUCAGUGGGAUUUCAUUUCUUUCUUUAGUGGGAUUCAAUCCUUACCAAUAUCUACAAGACUAUAAUUGUUGAUAUUAUGCCAAAAACCAAAGCAAGAGGGAGAGCUGAUAUAUCUCGGACACAGGAGAGAGAGAGAGAGAGAUCUAGAGAGAGAGAGAGAGAGGUNNNNNNNNNNNNNNNNNNNNGAGAGAGAGAGAGAGGUGGUAUUGGGUAAGGUUAGUUUUAUUUUGUUUUCUAAAAUAUAGACCAUCCAUGUAAUUUGAUAGUUAAAAUCAAAAGUCCUUAACAAGUCCUCAAAUAAGAAGUCCUCAUUAGAAGGGCUCCUAGUCAUCACACACCGCUCACAGUUUUGAUUUGAUCAUUUCUUAUUUUCCUAUUCUCACUACGCAAUCACUCUGAUCAGUAGCUCUUGACAUCCACCACAUCUAUAACGGUCAUAAUUAAAGGGAGCUUUUAUUCAUAUGCUCAUACCUCUAAAAACUUUACUUGAACCUCCUUGCUUAAUGGACCUCCAAUUUACUUUUACAAAUAAAUAAAAUGUUAUUUACACCUCUCCAAUUUUCUCAAAACGCCCAUAGUUCAAUAAAAUCAAUAAAAAUCUCUUUCUUUUAAAAGAUUCUCUUCAUACCUCCAUGUUUGGUAGUUAGACCUAGCCUCCUUCGAUUUUUAGGCAUCUGACAAUCAUAUUUUGCUUUCAAAAUCCAUCCAAUUGGUUCAAACCUAUUAUUAGCUAUAUCGAGCCGAGCUUGUUUGAUCAGACACAAUAAUAAUUAGCAAAUAAACAACUCUCCAAUAAGUUCCUGAAGCUCAUAAUUGAUAUUACAACAAAUGCGUUCAAACGAAAAUCAAAAAUACAUUGACAAAGAGAGGCUAAGAAACAAAAAAAAUAUGUCUAUAAAUUGCAUCAUCUUUCAAAAUGUCAUGCAUAUUGCAUAAUGUUUCAAGUUUUUCGUAAAAUCUUACUUAAUCAUCGAUUGUGAAUGAUUCUUGAUUUAAAUUUAUCUUUUCAACUUUUAUUGAUGUGGUUGACAAAGUCAAUACUAACUUAAAAAAAAACUCAAGUAGCACUUUUGGAGAUAUAAUUAGAAGCUUCCAUAUUUAAAUUGUCAGCUAGAUAAAACAAAAAAACAACUUCCUAAUUUAUCCCUUUCAUAGAAGACCAGGUCUAGGGUUUUGCAACUUUCCUAUGAUCUUUCUUCUAUAUAUUUUGUAUUCUCGAAGGAUAUUUUUUAUUUGGUUAGAUUUUAUAGAUAAAAUCAUAAACAUUAUCGGGUUAUCAUCCAUUAAUUUUUUUUUUUGACAAAGGACGAGAAAUCAAUUUUAUUGAUCACAACUUAAGAGUAUGAACAACAACAUGAACACGAUCCGCCCGCAGGGGCUACGUGAAAAUUGAAUCAUGCAAAAUUACCUAGUAGACCUACCUAGUAGCUAGACACUACGCAAUCUCUAUGUUGAGACCAUGGGAUGAAGCUCUAUGAUCAAAUAAUAACGUCUUGGCAGCAAAAGAACCUAACCAUCCACCAAGACUCAAGUAGGAAGGGACAAAUCCGCAGCCCAUCAUUAUUGACCACUUCCAGGACCACCCUACGCAGAGGGGGCAACCCCAGAGCAUCAAGUAAUCCUAAUUAAAAGAAAAAGCCCAAAACUAAGGAAUGCUCUAGACCCGCAAGUAGUCCUGGUUUAAGAUAAUUAAAAACAAAAAUAACAAAAACAGAAAUUGAGCCAGCCCAAUAACAGAAUUCAGUCCAAACUUCUAAAAGUAUGGCCCAAGCUCGAACCCUAGGGACAUGAAGAUCAAGGCAUCAACCAACCCAGACCAACCUUGCCGCCACCGUCGCCGGAAAACCAACCAUUGCACUCUCGCUCCUCUUUAGCCGAGACACCGCCAUCACGUUUUCAUUAGACCCUUCACAGAUCAAAGACACCAAGGUCACAAACACACAGCCAUCGUGCCAACAUAGAUCGGCAACCCGAUCCGAGCCAACUCGUGUAUUCGCGGUUGGAGCACUCCAAUUCGCCGUCAGACCAACAAAACCACAACCCGCCAUCACCUUUGACGCCAAACCAACCCACCACCACUCCCACGACUCCGAAGCAGCCUUGCCAACUCAAAAGACCCAACCACCAAUGUCAACCACCUUGAUGUCACUCUCCCUCAUCGUCGAUCUUACCAUACGAGACCAGAACACAAGCUCGAAGGGUUAUCAGAUUCCUUCUGGGGCGACAACGACAUCGGACGCACCGCCGGACGGAGAAGGAAGACUUUUUGAAAACCCUAUCCAUUAAUUUGUUGAAUUUUUUUAUUUUACUGUUGCCCAAGCUAACAACCAUAUAUGGUUAGUGAGUAGGAAAUCAGCAUAGACUUCAUUUGCAUCAUGAGAUGUAUGGAUAUAUAUAUAUAUAUAUAUAUAUAUAUAUAUAUAUAUAUAUAUAUAUAUAUUGCUAUAAAGUGGCAGAGAAUGAGGUUUAGUCCCCACUCCCCAGUGUCCUCCUAAGUCCUAACUAAGGGGGGUCAUGUCCUAUAAGGCUUCAUUGUUUCAUGGAAAGUAAGCAUCAGGAAAUGAAAGUUGUUCAUUUCCAGUGUUUGGGAAAGCACAAGGAAAGGAAACACUUUCUUGAUUCAUGGGAAAAUAUGGGGAAAGUGGUUCCCUCCAAAAUCCUAAUGAACCACUUUCCUUUCUUCUUUCCCAUUUGUUGAUACCUAAAAAAUCAAUAUUUAUGCUCAAUGGAUAUUCUAAGCUCAAUAAAGAAAUACACAUGCAAAUCACAUUCGAAAUACAAAAGUUACAUAUUUAUUCGAAUAUUUAUGCCAUGCAUGUGGAUCUAAGCCACAACUACGCUCUUAUAGCUUACAAGUUUGGGUGUGGUGUGGAAGGUAACGGAAGUACAUGAGGCUUAUUCUCGGUUUUGGUUAUUGGUGAUUUUGGACUUAGGACCGAAAUCCAUGCCCAACAAUCUAAACCGUUUAAUGGACUUGCAAAUAUGAGAUAAUCCAAACCCAUAUGCUUAACCUAAUCACCUACCUUAACCCUAAUGCAAUAAUCUUUCUACCCGAUCAAACAAGCAGUAUUUUCUUUAAACCCCGUAGUAAGUCUAAUCCUCUUCUUCUACACUAAGCACAAGUCCCCAUCAGCCUUUUCUUUUACUCUGUUCUAAGCUCUAGCCUCCACAAGCUAUUCAAAUAGACACAUCUAUCAACACACAACAACAGCUUUCCUUAAAAUAUGUUGCUCCAAUUCCAACUUCACACAUAACAACUUGUGGUCCUACGGUGUUUUGUAUAAUUGAACUCAACAUGAUACAUCUCUUUGAUUGUCCAGCAGACUUGCCUCAUUCACCUGUGUAUUAGCCUCACCCCUUCCAGCCUAUAAAUUAAGGCCUUAAACACAACACAACUCUCACGCAGCAGAACACAUACCUACAACCCAAUGCAUCCCACAAGCAAGCCUCAAGCAUCAUGCCAAACAUCCUUCACUCCAAAAACCAGCUUCACCUUUAAACAGUCUCAAACUCAUCCGCCACCACCAAAACCUUUUUCCCUCCUCACCGUAGCAAGUCUCUCAUCUUCUGUAAUUCAUGUGCUUCUAGCUCCCACGCCACUUGCCAUCUUGCAAGCCUUUUUUAUGUACUUUGUUCAUCUAUCAUGCAAUCAAAAUCACAUCACGUUCAUGCCUCUAGAUCACAAGCAACAUAUCACUGCAGCAGGCUAUCAUCCCCGUAACAAGCCAAUAUUACUGCAGGGGAGAUCUUAGGGAAAACACGCACAAAGCUCUUUGAAGCUUUAGGCCUAGUUCUUGAACUCAGAAGGGGUAGAAAGAGGAAAUCAAGUCAUUCAAGCAAAUCUAGCAACCUCUAUUCAAAAUGACCCCAACACCUGCAUUUAUUACUCAUAACACAAUAUUUUAUUAUAUUAAAUCUCAACUCUUUAACAACUUUCCAAUAGAUUUUCCUGGUGUUACCAAAUAUCGGAAUGGAAAGUUUUUGUAAAAUUUCAUUCUCGUUCCCUUUCUCUUCCUAUAGGAAAGAGGAAUGAACCACUUUCCAUGAACCAAACGAGGCCUAAAUAUAAUACUUAGGUUGGGUUUUAGGUCAUGUGUUAGUACCAUGUGCCUUACACAUUGAACUACUAGGGUACAACAUCUAAAGAAGAUCAUGCACGACCAUAAAUCAAGGACCCCAUGUUGUCGCUUAAAGCAAUAAUGUAACACCCUGACCCGGGUGUUAGAAGAAUAAACGAAUAAAAUAAAAAAAGAAAUCCUAAAUCGAAAAUGAGAUAGGAUCUCAUAAUCAAACAAAGAAAAUGUUUGUUGCGUUUGGAACCUAAAUUUUGUUUUGUUUAUUUGCGGCUGCACCCGAAACUUGAUCAGGCUGCCUACGUACCCUUUUAAAGGGAUCAAGCCACUCGUAGUUCAACAUUUUAAUCUACUUCUCUACCUUCAUUAACAACAUCACAUUUACCACCAUAAGUCCAAAAUUAAAACCCUGCUUACGGACUCCUAAGAACCAUUUCAUGAUACACACCAAUUUAAAAUAUUUUCUUCUAUACCCAUUAAAUCAAAUCAACCCGGCCAUACAAAGCAUCAUGCAUCAACAAAUCUAUACCAAUUUAUUAUCAUUCUAAUAUAAAGUUCCAGGAGAAUAAUUAUACUCAUCAACUUAACCAAACCCCACACUUAACUCGCAAAACAACCUACUCAAGUGCCAAAGAGUGUGUAUAAGUACGCACACAUACUUAUAUACAUAUAAAUAUAUAUACAUAUAAAUAUAUAUAUAUAUAUACCCCAUCAAAAUUUCCGUUAGAAUAAUAUAAAACUCAACUUAUGCAAAUCAUCAACAUUCAUUCUUUCACCUUGAACCCAAGUUUACUAAACAUUCUAACUAGAUUUACUAUGGACACCCAUUAGAUAUACUAUGGACACCCAUUUCAACUAAAACCAAUCCCAAAUCCAUACAUAACACUCCAAUAUCCACUUCAAUGCAUAAGCACAAUCCAACAACUGUCUAACAGUAAUAUUCAUAUACCCGGUUAUCAAUUUUAACCGUUAAUAUCGCUAGUCUUCGGAAAAUCCGAAACCUAACCUACAUUACUCCAAAAAUUGCUAACUUUCCACCAAUGGGCUUCUCUCAUUUUUAACAAUUUAAUAAGCAUGAAAAACUGCCCAAAAAGUGGCAACACCGCCGCCCGCUCCGCCGGCGGCGGCGGCCAAUCUCCGGCCACCCCCAAUCGUCACCAAAAUUUGACAGAACCUUCCUCUCAACAUUUCGAACAACUUUCAUGAACAACACUAAGCUCAAUUCUAGCUCUAAAUAGUUCAUUUAAUCAAGAACAAUAAAACCCGAUUUGGGGCUAAAAACCCUAAAAUUUCGAAAUCUCAAAUUCUCCUCACACACACCAUGAAUCGAGUUACAAGCUUCUAGAGGAAUGUUAUACUAAUCAAACCCAACCUAAUCAUAUAAAGAACUCACCGAUUGGUGGCCUAAGGAGGGAGAAAUCCGGCUAAAACAGCGACGAACAGUCGUACCUUCUCGCCGUGAUUUCUCCCAAAAAGCGGCGAGAGGGACGCUAUCACCACUCUAGAUCGAUAGGUCUCCUCCUUAGCUUCCUGCCGAUACCCGGAUCGCCGCCCAAUUCGGCCUGACGGCGGCGCACGAAGCGGAGAACAGUGGCGGGAGAGAGAGGAUCGCUCGGGAGGAGAGAGAGAGGUGCGGUAAGUUUCUGAUUUUUCUACCUCCCACCUUCGGUAAGUUUCUCUUUUUAUACCCUUUACCAAAACAGUAACCUCCCGUUUUUAGACCAUAACUUUCUCAUACGAACUCCGAUUUGAGCGUGCCACGUGUCCACGAACUCGUAUUAACGUUCUCUACGACUUCCAUAAAGAAAGUUUUCCCAAAUUAUCGACUUAACAAAAAGUAAACUUUUUUGGUCCUUUACGGUAAAACAGUUACAAGAAACAAUAAUUGAAAAUUUACUAUAAACUUCAUAAAUUCACAGAGCAUAGCUCGUCGCUCCGGAAAAUAAUCCGGGCAUACCGGUGAGCUCGUAUAAACGUGUACCACGACUUCGGAGUUUUAAAUCCACUAUUUAUCGUUUUCAGAAAAACUCGAAAACAACUCGAGCAAUCACUAUUUAAAUCUCUGAGCGCUAAUAAAGAAAAAUCUGUGGUAACUCAUAACCCCGAACAGUAACCUUUUUGGUACGGGGUAUUACAAAUAAUAAUAAGAAACUUCUUCCAUGCAGCGCUCCAUUGCCCAAGCAGAUUGUAAUUGUAUCUGUUCCUGUUCCGACGUAGUCGUACUAGAACUUGAGUUGUUGGAGCUUCCAUGUUCUUGUUCUUCUGAGAAUGGGUUAUGAAAGCCGUCACCAAAAUUACUCUCACCAUCUUGAGUGGGGAGCCGCCUCAAAAUCUCUUCCAUCAUUCUGUGCAAAUUCUCAUUGGACCGCUUCAACUCAUCUAUCUCACCACGUUGAUGAACAUCAUCAACAUGAGCUGAACGCCUACGAGUUCCACGCCCUCAUACCAUGAUGGCUAUUAAUAGAACGCACCCUCCAAGAACCGGCUUUGACAGCAGAUUGCCCGCUCUGAUACCACUUGAUGCAGGUGUAUACAGAGAGGAGGAGGGGGGGGGGGGUUUGGAUCCGGGAAUCACUCAACCAGGAAAGAGGGGUUUUUUUUUGGAAUCACUCACCAAAGAAAACAGAGAAUAUACUCUGAAGCAAACUUUCAAUAACAUUAAUCUGCCCAACAAGGCCAAUGUUACAAGAUAUAUAUAUACACACACACAUAGAGGAUGUGAAGCGGACGUCCGCACUCGGUUUAAAGUGCGGACGUCGUCCGUUCUCCGCCGUCUCACGCCAGCGACGACUUCUCUCCUUCCCGGACGACAGCACAGACUUCCAGGACGGCUUCUCUCCUUCCAGGACUGGCCGGCGACAAGUUUUCCGGCCAACCUUGAUCAAUCAUGGUGUUUUCCGUCCAGCGCUUCAGUCCUGGAAUAAGAGAAACCGUCCUAGAAGCCUGUGCUGUCAUCCGAGAAGGAGAGAAGCCGUCGCCGGCGUGAGACGGCGGAGAACAGACGACGUCCGCACUUUAAGCCAGAGUGUGGACGUCCGUUUCACAUCCUCUCUGUAUAUAUAUACAUAUAUAUAUACACAGGCUGGUUCCAAAGUGCACGGCCGUGCUUUUACAAAACUGUGCACGAAUCUUUUUCAGCCGUUCAUUGUUUUAAAUGACAAGCAACGGCUAAGAUGAAAAGUCUCUCUUAAAACCCAAAGUGGGUCAAAUAUAUAGCAUUGCCCGACUGCUCGACUCUUCAGUCUCUCUCUCUCUCUCUCUCUCUCUCAACGAUCUCGUCUCACACUUCUCCAGCCAAAAUCGUGAAAUUCCAAUUCAUGUCUUCUCGAUCUCGCCUCUGGUUUCACGAUUGGUGACAAGCCUAACUUUCUCUUUUCCUUUCUCUCACAGAAAUUGAAGUACUCGAUCAUAUGAUAUAUAUCAAUGAUGGAGCUUUGGCCCUAAAAUUGGAGAUCUGGGGAAGCACGAAAACUCAUCUAGAGUUACUCAAGUAUGGGUUCUCUCUGUUUUGAUAUACUUGAUUUCUAAUUACAAAACAUAGGGUUGUUUUUGUUCUUUUUAUAAAAGAUGUUGUAAUUGGGAAUUUUUUUUCCUUUCAUUUCUACUGGUGAUAGAGAGAAGAAGGAAACGAGGAGGAAGAAAGAAAAGAAAGAAGGGAACAACGGAAGGGAAAGAAAAAGGGGAAGAAAGAAAGGAAGUUGAGUAGGGAGCAGAAAAUUUGGGAAAUCAAAGAAGAUUGGGAGUUUGGCAGAUUCUUUCUUGUUUCAGUUUUAUUGUGGUCUUGAUAGUUUGAGGUGAGUGGCUAUUCUCCUUACAAUUUAUGUGGUUAUGAUUCUCCUUGUUUAGUCUACCUUGCUAAAUUAAGAUCGAUGAUGGUGAGAUUCAAUUGUGAGGGACUCCUUUGUUUUACAACUACACUUGUUUUUGUUAUUUGCUUUAUUGUGGCUCUGUCAAAAGUUAUGAUUCUGUACAUAAUUUGGUUAUGUGUUACUGUUUACUUUUUGAUAGAUGAAUGAGAUGUGGAUUUUGUGUGUUUGUGUUGUGAUCAGGUCAAUACCUAUUACUUGGAGCUAAUUUGAGAGUUUUCUAUCUUCAUCUGAAUUGGUGUUUAUGAUUUCACGUUUUGUUGUGUUUACUUUGAUUGAUAUAUAACAGGGUCUUCUUAGUGUGAGAUUUCAUAUUUAUUUAAGAGUCUCCAAUUGCUUAGCGGAUUAGUAUUUAUGUUCUGGUUUUCUCUUAUUGUUGCAGCUAGCAUUGUUAGCAUAUACAAUCUGGGCACUCUUCUUGUCUCAUAGCUAAAAGGAAAUGAAGCUUGUCUCGACAGUUUAUUACUUUGCAAAUCAAUUUGACGCAGAGACAUAUUCAUAGUUCGAUAACAGAUUGUGGAAAGGAAUGUAAUUUGUAGAUGAAUGUUGUAUUAUUAACCCAUCAGAGAUUACAUGAAUUUUGUCAAUUGUUCCCUAUCUAUUGAAUUCAGUUUCAUCAUCUUUUUGGUGUUUCUUGUUGGUGUUUCAUUACAGAGAAACUGAUUGAAUCCUUCUAGUUUCAGUUAUGCAUAGCAGUAACAUAUGUACCACUGGAGACUUCAAUUGCGUAUACCAAUAACAUAAGUUGGAAUAAUACUGAGAAUGUGGAUCAUGCUCAGGGAUUUAUGUCAAUUUGGUUGGAGUUGGGAAUAAUACUGAGAAUGUGGAUCAUGCUCAGGGAUUUAUGUCAAUUUGGUUGGAGUUGGGUAUAUGAGUUGCACACUUGUUCAAAGGCAUUGUCUAUGCAAUACUUCAUUUAUUUUUGACUUUGUGCAAUACCUAUGAACUUCAAAACUGGCAGCAGUAUAUGCAUACGCCAAAAUGACAGUGCAAUACCUUUGUAUCCACCAAAACUGGCAGCAGUAAAUGACAGCAACUACUGUAAUACACCAACAUUGUUUCUUUAAAGGACAGUAAAAUGACCAGUAGUAUAUGCAUACAGCAAAAUGACAGCAACGCCAAAAUGUUCAUACACCAAAACUGGCAGCAGUAAAUGACAGCAACUACUGUAAUACAUUAACAUUGUUUCUUUAAGGACAAUAAAAUGACCAGCAGUAUAUGCAUACAACAAAAUGAUAGCAACACCAAAAUCACAGCAAAAUGACAUAUACACCAAAAUGACAGCAACACCAAAAUCACCGCAAAAUGACAGCAAUGCCAAAAUGUUCAUACACCAAAAUCACAUAUCAUCAUUGUUUCUCUUUAAUGAGUACAGACCUAUAAAUAAGGCCAACCAAAAUUCAUUGUUUCUGAGAUCUAUUCAAGGCAUACAAAAAUUAUGUGCAUCUGCAGUCACAAAAUGAGAGAUAUUCUGCAAAAUCUGCUACUUUGUACAGAGUGAGGUUCAUUCACAUAGAACAUUGUCAAAUGAUCUCCUUAUACAUUAUUCUACAAAAUAAAACAAGCAAUAGGCUGAUAAGUCAGUUCUUAUCAAGUUAAAUAAAAUGUUGAUUAGUUUUAACAAUAAAACAGCAACCAAUUAAAUAGAAUAGUGUAUUAUCAAGCUUGUAAUGAAUUCACCUGUAAAUGAACAACUAUCCUCAUCAAUGCUACUUGAACUUAAAUCCCAAUCUUUACUAAUAGCAGGUCUACAUAAAUGAGCAAGAAUAUAGAGAUAUGUAUCAAUCAAAAAAUUCUGAAAACAUAAACAGUAAUACCAAACACAAUUUAUUAUAGAUUCUUACUUUCCUAGAAGUGUUGGACAAUUUCUUUUGUCAUGUGACUGACCAUAUAGUCCGCAUCCAUGGCAUUUUUUACCUUGACUAUCCUUUGCCUUAACUUUCCUCUUCUCUCUUCCUUUCUUCAACCUUCUCCCACACCCUUUUUCUCUAACUUGAUCUGGUUCAUUAAAAACAUGCUGAAUAGUAACAGUCUCGGUCUCUAAAACUACUGUGCUCUGUCCACUUUCAUUACCAAUAUUUAGUGAUUUAAAAUUCUCCAAGAAAGCAUCCAACGAAUCCAUUAGGAGUUGGCUAGCCUCAUCACUAACGAUUGCCUUAUCAAUUGCAUCUGUAGCAUGCUGGAACAAUUUAGUCCUCCUUGCAAGUAAAGUUUCGGUAUCUGUUAUCUCUCCUCCAUCAGAAUCUAACACAAGACUCUGCCUUGCUUUCUUAGUCCAUCUCUUCAAGAUGUACUGAAUAGGCAAUUUAUCAACAUCUUGAAUCUUAAUCAAAUAUGACAAAACAUGUCGACAUGGAAGCCCUUCACUCUCCCACUUUCUACAGCUACAUGAUACAAAAUCAGAAUCUUUUUCAUAAGUGAGUUCACGAGACUUGCAAGUAUCAAUGUUCUUUCUCACUGCUUUGCACACACAAGGAGUCUCAUUUUCUCUUAGAAGUUCUAAUUUAUAUUUGAAGCUCUCUUUCAACUGUUCUUGAACUUCAUAAAAUAACUUGUGUGUGUAAACCUUGGCCAUAUGAUCUUCUAUUUCAAGGGACAUGACAGUUUUUGCCUUCUCUUCAAUAUUAAUAUGAUCCUCCUCUAACUCAUAGUGGCGUUGGUGAAGAAGUCCCCUCUUAAACUGAACCAUAAAUUCCACCAAAGAAUUCGACUGAGAAACAUAAUUCUUGAAGAAAGAAUGCUGACUCUUUGCUCUUUGACUACUUGACAUUCCAGCUGAGAAACAAUGAUUAUUUACAUGUGCUAGUAUCCAUGAUGAACGAAUCUCGUAUAUCGACUCCAACCACUUGUUAUCACUCAAUCCACUCUUCUCAACAAUUUCAGUCCAUCUCGAGUCAAACUCAUCUCCACUAUUUGAAUUCCAUAUGCAGCUAUGAAAGUCUUGGUAGUAAUUUCGAUAUUUAACCGCAUCUAGCUUCUCUGAAAAUUUAUUGAGAAUGUGCCAACUGCAAUAUCUAUGAAAUGUCUGUGGAAGUGCUUCUGAAAUGGCUUUAGUCAUAGCAGGAUCUUGGUCGGUAAUGAUCAUUGUGGGGGCAUUUUCCGAGGCAUUUCCAGGCAUAGCAUUUAGAAAUUCUUUGAAUAACCAAACAAAAGAAUCUGCUGUCUCGUCAUUCAAAAAUGCACAAGCAAAUAUGAUAGUCUGUCCAUGAUUAUUAACACCAGUGAAUGGUGCAAAAAUCAUUCCAUACCGAUUUGUGUUGUAUGUAGUAUCAAAAAUAACUACAUCCCCAUAAAAGCUGUAAGCUCGUCUUGAGAUUGAGUCAGCCCAAAAACAUCGUGUUACUUUGUUUUCCUCAUCUGAUUCCAUUCUAAAGACAAAAGAAGAUUCUUUUUCUUUUUCGUUUUGGAAAUGCAUGUACAAUAGAUCUCCAUCAUGCCCCUUCUUCUCUUGACGAAUAUUUCUUCCAUAAUUAUAAAGAUCACAUUGUGUACAACCAAUGUUUUCAAUGCCACCUGCUUGAACACCAAAGAAUUCGAACUGUUUAUGUUUCUUCACAUUUACCAAGCUUAAUUGCUCAGAUAGAACUUUGUUGACUUUUGAAAUACGACGAUGAGACUUCAGUAAAUAUACCCUAGAUGGGCUUGUUAAUGCGUGGUUGUGCCUUCAACAAAUACAGAGAUUGCAUAUCUUCCAGUUUUCUUUCUCACAGCUGCAAUCCUUGCUUUACAACCCACUUUUGGUAAUCCUCACUUACGUUUUUCUCCCUAAACCUUAGAAUCUCCUUCCUUAUAACAGACAUACUGCUUCCUCAUAACAGACAUACUGCUUCCUCAAAUACAAAGAUUGCAUAUCUUCCAGUUUUCUUUCUCACAGCUACAAUCCUUGCUUUACAACCCACUUUUGGUAAUCCUUACUUACGUUUUUCUCCCUAAACCUUGGAAUCUCCUUCCUUAUAACAGACAUACUGUUUUCUCAUAAGUGUAGUAUUAUCCUUGCUCAUUGCACUAGUAUGACUUCUAAUACUAAACUCUGCUUUUUUUGCAUAUCUAUUGUAGAAAGCAACAACGUCAUCCAUUGUUUCAAACUCUUGUUUUAAUUUAGGAACCACCUCAAACUUCACUUGAGGAAUAUAAACUUGAUCAUCAUUUGACUCCAUAUAUGUAACCGAAACUGAAAACCACACAUACACCGAACAUUCUUUUGUCAGUCAGCAAUCCCAAUGAAUUGAAAAGACAAAAUUCAACCAAUGUUAAUCAAUUGAAAAUACUAAAGAAUUUGGUGAAUGUUUUUCAUCGCCACCAGCUAGAUAUAUAUGAGAAUCAAAUCAUAACUUCAACAAAGAAACAAAAAUAGAAAUCUAGAAACAAUAACAAGAAAAGCCCCAAAUAUGAUAAACCCUAAAUUUUGUAAUUGGAAAAUCAAACAUACCAGAAAAGAGAGAACCCAGACCGAUCUAUAUACGUUUAUAUGUUUUCAAAGCUCCACCUUUUGGAGCGAAAACUCCAAGGCUAGCUUUUUGUACCACAAGAUUGCAAUAUAUAAUAGAGAAAGGAAGAAAAAGAAAGCUUUGAUUGCAAGAACUGUGCAACUGAGGAGAGUUUGAUCAUCAAUGGCGAGAAGACAUGAAUCGGAAGACAACGAUUAUGGUUGGAGAAGAGAUCGUUGAGAGAGAGAGAGGGAGACUGAAGAGUCGGGCAGUGUAUUCCUUGCUAUUUGACCCGCUUUGGGUUUUAAGAGAGAAUUUUCAUCUUAGUCGUUGCUUUUCAUUUAAAACAAUAAACGGCUGAAAAAGAUUCGUGCGCAGUUUUGUAAAAGCACGGACGUGCACUUUGGAACCAUCCUCUGUAUAUAUAUAUAGGACUAAUUUCAGUUUACCCCAUCAAUUUUAGGUCGAUCAUUAUGUUAGUUUUUCUUCUUUCACUUUCAUCAAAAACACCCUUUAACUCCCAAUUUUCGUCAGCCGCGUAUGUCCAAAUCUCCAAUCUCUAUCUAAUUCCUCUGUCAAGUGAUGAUUUGAUAUCAAGAAGAAAGUCAAAUUCUAAAAGUUACCUUUCGGACCAUUUUUCCCCCAUAUCGAUACACAUCUUCGUUCCCAUCACAACCCCCUAACCUUAGUGAUUUUAGUAGGAUUGAAUGCAAUUUGUCUAUUUUUUCUUUUUCUUUUUUCUUGAUAUCAAGUCAUCACUUGACAGAGGAAUUGGAUGGAGAUUGGAGGUUUGGACAUGCGCGGCUAAUGAAAAUUGAGAGUUGAGAGGUGUUUUUAAUGAAAUCGAAAGAAGAAUGACUAACAUGAUAAUCAACCUAAGUUAAUGGGGUAAACUGAAAUUAGUUCAUAUAUAUAUAUAUAUAUUGGAAUUCAAAUUUCAAUAGGACUCUCACUAUGACCUGACUUAACAACUUUCUAUACGCAUGACUAGACCAGCAAUUAAAUUACUUUGCACUUCCAAUGGAUAUUAAUUAUAUUGAGAUAGACUCUUAAAUGAUCAUCAACUAGCCACUAGCUUUAUAAAGCACCAGCUUUAUAUAAAGCACUAGCUUCUCCAAAGCUGUAGUUUUGAUCCAACGCUAUUAAGCUACCAUUAAUAUAAAAUGCCACCGUCCGAGUAAAUAUCCUUCACCAGAUCAAUAGCAUUCGCUUUGAAAGAAAAUAGGAAGAAAUGGGAGGUAAUGAAAGCAGGGAAAGCUCUAAACAGGAAGGAGGAGGUGAAAAUGCUGCUGCAUCGUCCGGUGACGUCGACUCUGGGUUGACAAAAGGAGCAGUCGCCGCUGGCGCUAUCGCCGGACUCGCCGCUGUGGCUUUGGGCGUAGCUAAAAUACUUUCGGAUUCGUCAUCAUCAGGAGGGGAGAGAAAAACCAUGAAAGCGCCCGGACAAGAUAACCAGAGGAUUGACAGGGACGAGUUUGAGCGUGACCCUGCUGACUAUUUCAAAAACUUGCGCAAGUCGAAGAAAUAGUACGUAGUAGAUCACUAGCUCAUGCUUCUUCUUUGUUCAUGCAAACCCUAUUCAGCUUCAUGCAUUAUCCUAGCUUAUCUGUGUUCUAGCUUGUACCUGAAAUCUUUAUGCUUUAUCUAUGUUAUUGUGAUUAAUUAGAGUCUAUGAUUGCCUUGUCGUGUUGGAUCUAUUCCUGUUUAUGCAGAGUCCGUAUCUUUCGUUUUAACUUCCAGUCUUCGAUCACUAAGAAUGCAAAAUGAAGAUGUUUCAUAAUCAACAUUCAGUUAGGUAAAAAUAACACGUACAUUCUUUACUGGAUCGGAUGAAGUGACAAUGUAUAAGAAUGGAACCUGACUUGGUUUAGAGUCUUGAGAGUGAAACAAGGUCGAGUGAUCGAUUGCUGACUAAAUCAUCAAGGAGAGUAAAGUGACGGGAAGGCCGGCAUACCUCUUCGUCCUCUACUGCAUGCUGCCGUUCAUUAUCAUCACCAUCAUCAUCGUCUUCAACAAAUCUGAGUCUCUCAAUUCAAAUGGUGCUCAUGAGUUUCACAAAGUUGGAAAAUAUUCAAUUGUCUCGCAGCAAUGGAUCUGGAGAAUACUUAAGAGAAAGAGACGAAAGAGAGAAUGGACGAAUAGAUCUAAAGAACGAGACCAAGAGUGAAAAAAUGAGAGAGACCGUGUUAACUUGAAAACCCAAAAAUCUCACAAUAGUACUAGCCAAGGAGGGUUAGGAGGCUGAGAGCAAAAAACAUGUGUUAAGUGGUACCCUUUAUUUUUGUACUCCCCCUUACCAAACACAGAUCAAACCACUUAAUACCUCUUAUCUAGUACAAUACCCUUUAGUCCCAAAUACCAAACAUACAAUUGGGGUACAACAUCUAAAGAAGAUCAUGCAUGAUCAUAGUCAAGGACCACAUGUUGUCUCAGCAAUAAUAAUAGGCACCGAUGGGCAAUAAUAAUGCAUGUCUUAAACGACGGAAGUUGUAGCGGAGCAACGUAGCAUUUUCUAAAACAUCAACACGUACGUGUUUGGUUGUUAGUGGCUGGUCGUAUAUGUGAGGUGGUACGUUUGCCGUACGUAAGAACUUCUCCGUUGAUAUGUACUCCGACGGUGGUGCUUUAUAUAAAGCACUAGCUUUGAUCCAAAAAAUAAAAAAUUUGAUCCAACGCUUUAUAUAAAGCACUAGCUUUAGAAACCACUAGUUUUAUAUAAAGCACUAGCUUCUCCAAAGCUCUAGUUUUGAUCCAACGCUACCAUUAAUAUAAAGCACCAAAGGUCUACCACCCUCCGAGCACAUAUCUUUCACCAAAUCAAUAGCAUUCGCUUUGAAAGAAAAUAGGAAGAAAUGGGAGCUAGUGAAAGCAGGGAAAGCUCUCGACAGGAAGGAGGUGAAAAUACUGGCGCUAUCGUCGCACUGGCCGCUGCCGCUAUCGCCGGACUCGCCGCUGUGGUUUUGGUCGUAGCCCGACUUCUUUCGGAUUCAUCAGGAGGGGAGAAAAAAACCAUGAAAGCGCCCGGACGAAAUAACCAGAGGAUUAAAAGGGACGACUUUGAGCGUGACCCUGCUUCCUAUUUCAAAAGCUUGCGCAAGUAGAAGGACCAGUAGUAGAUCACUAGUUCAUGCUUCUUCUUUGUUCAUGCAAACCCUAUUCAGCUUCAUGCAUCCUAGCUUAUCUGUGUUCUUGUACCAGUAAUCUUUAUGCUUUAUCUAUGUUAUUGUGAUUAAUUAGAGUCUAUGAUUGCCUUGUCGUACUGGAUUUAUACCUGUUAUUUAUGCAGAGUCCGUAUAUUUCGUUUUAACUUCAGUCUUCGAUCACUAAGAAUGCAAAAUGAAGAUGUUUCAUAAUCAACAUUCAAUUGGGUAAAAAUAACACGUACAUUCUUUACUGGAUUGGAUGAAGUGACAAUGUAUAAGAAUGGCCUUCCAUAUUGAAGAGAGAACUCGAGUCCAUCACAAUUGACGAUAUCCCUGCUUCCAUGACAACGUUCUUGAUAGCAAAUACAGUUUGCUAGUGACCUAGUGUGUUCCAUCCGCAUCGAAAUCGGUGAAUCAGACAUCGCUCAAUUCAGAUGUUUCAUCCAAAAUGUCAUGCUUCCAUCUCUAUGGUUAUGAUCAUGGGAUGUGGUCCGGUGUAAAAAUUGUGACAUGAUUGUACAGCUUGAUCGUGAAGUCCACAAAAUGUGAAUAAUUUAUAGAGUUUUAUUGAUGCAUCUCAGAUUCUCAGUACAAGGAAUACAUGUAUUAAUAAAUUAAAAUCCUGACAAAAAUUGGCUUCAUCUGCUUCUCUUUCUCUGGCCAAGACCAUAUCCUUAACUAUUGAAUAGAUAUCCGUAUGAGUGAGACUGAGCUCAAAACGCAACAAUAAAGAUCAGAUUACUGGUAUUGCGUUUGUAUGAACCUUGAUUCCUUGAAUGAGAACCACAGGUGAUGCGCAAACAACAUAACAAGAGUUGAGCUGAUCAUCUUCUUCUCCUCCCCUUGCCUUUUCCUAAUUGCCCAGAUUUCAUAGCAUGUUCUUGCUCUUGAAGGAAAAGUCUUGCUUUUCCAUAUUUCUCAGCUCUCUCUUGUUCCAUCAAAGCCUUAUCCCUCGACUUCACCUCCUGCAAGAAAUAAUUAUCUUUACGCAGUUCACGGACAGCACCUUUAGCUUCUUGUGUCAAACGCUUCUUCAACUUCUUUCUCUCAACCCGUUCACGGUCUGGAUCGUAGUCUCUGCCCUUGACAAAGCUGCAGGGAACAACAUACCAUCCAAUGGUUAGCCUAGCCAUUCAGAUACAUAUAGUAAGACACUAGAGGGAACAGGGAUUAAAAUAAAUUACUUCUCCUCAAAUUUUGGAUUGAGCAUUUUGAUAGCCACUGGCUUUUGCUUCCGCAUCUGAAGUGGUUGCCGCCGCAAGCAGUGUUUAUCUGCUUUUGUCUUGAUCAGUUGAGCAACCUCUUUAAAUUUAUCAGUUAAUGCACUUGGCAUAUUUUCUUGUUCCGACAAUUCAAGAACCAAUGUUGAAAUCGGCAAAAAGAUUUCGGGGAAAGAACUGAAUCCUUCGUAGAUAUUGACAUAUCCACGUAGAGUUUCAAUUACAGUCACCAGCACACUAGACCUGAAAAUUGUAAAUUUGACAUAAAGAUAUAACAAACAAACUUAAAAAGUAUAACAGACAACAAAUGGCAUAUGAAAAUUCAAAGUAAUAAUAACGAAACCAAUUUAUAUGCAAAAAUUUACAGAAUUGCCACAACUCUAAAACGUAAUCAUUAGAUGGUGGCAUCGGUCAAUGUGAUGUGAUUUGAGGGUUCAUUUCAUAAGCACCGAAUCUCAGCCUAACGCAUCAUAUGGGCACAUAUUAUCAUAACAUAUUAUCAAGUACUGACAAACUCCAAACCUGAAAUUGUUGGAGGUGAAAAAUGACGAGUCUUCUGGCAGGUCCAUAAUUGUGAGAAAAUUAAGUGGAUCGAUCUGAUUUAUACAUUCAUGUAUAAGUAAAAGGGGUCUGGGUGCUUUUAGUUCCAUAAGAUGAUCAAUCUGCCACAAUAUAAAGAGAGUACGGUUAAUUCAUCAAGCAACCAUAAACUAGACUACCUCAGUAUUCUCUACUAAAAAGACUAUGUUGAGGCGUGUUCUUACCUCAGAAUCUUGAGUAGGCUUUGGUUUUCUCUCUUUGGCCGCCAUUAACAAUGUUUGAAGAAAUGUGACUGCUUCGGGACAGAACUUCCGAGAUUGUUUAGUGAUCUGCAUUGCAAUACAACUAAUUAAGCCUGUAAAAUAAAUACAGCAGAGGCAAAGAAACACAGGCAUGGAACAGUUCAAAACGAUUGAAAGUUACAGGUUAAGGUUAAUUUAUUAUAUUCACAUAGGAGUCACAGGCACUCAAUCAACUUGUCUCACGUGUUUAAAUAUUAGGAUUACGAACAUGAAAGAAAGACAAAGGAGACGCCUCACACAAACUAAUGUAAAUUCAGCCUCCACUUGAAGAGCGCAUCAAAGAUAGAAAUUUUUUAUUGUGAAUAUACUUACAGAGAGAAGCAGAGAGCAUAAGAACAAGCCGACUGCAACAUCACGACCAGAUAAGAUGGGACAACGCGUCAGAUAUUCACACAUUAAAAAUAUUGCUGGAGUCAUGACCACAUGACGAAAGUCUGAACAUGGAAAUAUCAGGGACCAAAGCCUCAGGAGAAACAAUGUCUUUGAAGCAGGCCAACAACUACUUUCUUCUUAAACGAAACAAGAGAGCAUGAAUUAGCAUAGUUUAGCACAACCAAUAACUUCACAGAAAGUAAAACUAUACCAUUCCAUUGUGGAUUACCUGGGUUCUUCACAGUCUCACAAAAUUUUGUUCUGGUGCGUAGUAUUCUCUCACGAGCACAGAUUGAAGCAAAAUACGGAGUCUCCAUGCUCAUCUCCAUCAACGGCUUAACCAGCAAAUUCAGUAAUUCCAAAUUUAGCGGUUUUUUAUUUGCCAAGGUGGCAAAAUAUUGCAAAAGUAAACCAUAAAACACCUGGAAAAUGAAAUAAAUGAGAAUGAGUGCCAAGAUGCAAUCUUUCGACCAAAUUAAAGGAGAGAUGCAAUCACAACAGAUGGAGUAUACCUUAAGUUACUUCACUUCUCCAUACAAAUGUUAAAUUCAAGUCAAGGUAUCUAAGUGGAAAGCGAUAAUGAAUAACACAUGUUUCACACAAAAUACAGUCAAACAUUCAUUGACACAAAAUAGAUGUGGCAAAAGUAACAUACUUGCAUUUUCUUCUUAUUUUCAGCUGCAAGCUUGAUUGCAUUGCUUGCCCGGAUUCGAUGGAUUAUCAAGGCAAUGUCAGCAUUAGAAAGAUUAUCCAAUAAUGCAUCCAACUCUUCCAUGCUUUUCGGAGCUUCAAUUAGGUAUGGGAGGUCUGACUGAGUUAAAGAUUGUUUAUUGGCUGGCAAUUUUUUGGCAUCUAAAGAUUUACCAUCACUCUUACUAGCUUGAACAGCAUCAUUUCUUUUCAACUUUUUCAGAUGUCUUUGCUCCACCUCUUUUUGAUCAGCAUCAUCAUCACCAUUUUCAUGUUCGUCAGAGUCUUCUUCUUCAUCAUCCAAGUCUAAGUCAAGAUUAUCAUCAUCACUUUGUUCCCACUCCUUAUUCAAUAGAUCUCUUUCCCCUUCACUAUCAUCUUCAUCAGAACCCUCAACACCAUCAUCUUCAGGACUUUCUGAACCCUCAGAAGAAUCAGAAUCAUCUCCUUCACUCUCAGAAUCACCAGCAUCUCUUCGUUCGAGAAUCUCAUCAACCCAACCCUUUUUAUUCCUUGGUUCUUCCUCGAGCGAGAAAGAAUCACCAAGAUCAUCUCCAGAUAUAGCUCUCAGCCUCAGGGUAGAUGGUUUCUCAGCAUCUUCAUUGUCUUCAUCACUAUAGUCAUCAGUGGGAUGCAUCCUUUUCUGCCUCUCUUCCUGAAUUGUGAAACUUGUCAGCAAUUAAGUUUACAACUUGAUAAUAAAAAGUACAAGCGAGACAAACAUUCAGCUAAUAAAUUAUCAACUUUAAUGACAUGGAAAUCCCAAGUUAAGUAUAGAUAAAUAAACAAAAACAUCUAUCCUGAAAUGACAUGUCACUAUGUACCAUAUUGGAAUCGAGUAAAUGAUAAAUGAACCAAAUUGAAACCCAAGAUGGCAACCUUUUAGAGCUUAAACAUAUAGCUUAUCCAGGGGCAUAAACCCAUAUAGCUUAUUAGAACAGUGAAGACAGUUCUUGGUGCACCAAUUUAUGCAUACUGCACUUGCCAACAACAAUCUACAAUUUACCAAUACAUGUUCUAAUACUAUAAGGAAGUUCAAUAAUAUCCACUAAUACAUAGCUGCAAGACAAAGGGAAUUUCAUGUUUGGUGGGUUAAGCUACUGUAGUCUAAUAAUAACAAGCAUCUAUAAAGAUAAGGCUGUUGGAUCUGCAGAUGAAACUUGCAUUCAAGCAAGCAUAUAAAUGAAUGAGAUACCUCCAAUUGUUCUAGUUGCUCCCUCUCUUCUUGUGCUAUCUCUUCAGGCGUCUUGGUCCUACUCGAGGGUUGAGCACGCCUUUCCAUUGCCAAUUCUCUUUCAAGUUUAUCAUAAGCGUCAGAUUUCUCCUGCCAAAGCCAGGAAACUAAUUUACUUACCCAAGUCUCAAAGUUAUGCAAGUUUAACAUGUUUAGUACAGCUGUACAGAACAAUAAAACUUUAUAAAAAUAAAAAUAAAAAUAAAAAAUCUAUUGAAAAUAUCAUACCUGCUCAGAAGUUCCAAAGAUCUGAGUAGCAGAAACCUCAUGCUUAAUGCUUUUGUCUAUAAGAGCUUUCGAGGCAAUUACAGAGGUAAACUUUUUGUCCAAUUCUUCCAUCAAAUCUUUGUUUUCAUCCUUCUCCUUCGACUUUUCAAACUGGGAAUAGAUGAGAAGAAUAAGGAAGGAAUCCAUAACUAAAUUAAAGACUUAGGAAAUUGAUGUAGCCACCACCACAAGCCAUUUCAAUGACAUAAACAAGUAAGAAUCCAAACCUUAUAAUUUUUGGACUUCAAUAUCAUCUCAGCAUAUCUUUCCUUGUCACUUUUAUGCCUCUGGUACAAAAACAACGAAACAAGCAUUGGCAUUUUUAUCGCUCUAAUGUUUCUACCGAUAAAUCUAUAAUCUACUGAAGAAAACAACUUUGCUGACAUAUUAACCUAAAAUAAUCUAGUAUUUCAAUAUAAUGCACCACAAACGAGAUAGCAUAAAAUUUCUCACAUUUUCAUUUCCGUCACUUAAAUCCCCGUCCUUAUCAUCAGAAUUAAAUUGAUAUCUUUCUGCAGAGAAGAAAAACGAGUAACGUUACUCCCAUUAACAUAGAUCAAAAGAACCAAUAACUAAAUCAUAAGCAGUUUCAGUAGCCAACUAGACAUGGAAAAUGAUCAUCAUACACAAAAUCACCAUAAAAAUGCUUACUUUUAGCAGUUUCUCCACCAUCAUCAUCUUCGUCAUCUUCCUGCGGCAUAUCAUCCUCAAAAUCAUCCCUCUGAGACAAUGCACCAAGACUCUGAAACUCAAACUCGUCGUCUUCGCCAUCUGACAAGUUAUACUUGCUCUUCUUGCUUUGCUUCAGCUAUCAAAAAAAACCAGUAAUGCCAACAAAUUCAGUCACAUUGGAGAUUAUCACUAACAUACACAUAGAUCAAAAUCAAAAUUCAAACUCACUUGACGCUCACGCUGGGUACGCCGAAUGGCCUUAUCAAACUCAUCAAGCUCAUCAUUUCCCUCUCCGAUUCGCUUAUCCACAAACACCGAAGAUUUACCGCUCUUCUCAUACUCCUUCAGCAAUGUCUUCUUCCUCUGUUUCACCAAAACCACAUUAAUUACCCAAAAAAAAAAAAAAAAAACAACCUAAAAUUUCAGAGCUUGAAUGAAACUUAGGGAUGAAUAAGUGUUGACCUUUUCGAUGGCCUGAGAGCGAGCAAGGCCGACACGGCGCUCUUCGCCUUUGCGCUUUUUGCCGAGGACGUCGAAUUUCCGCCGGGACCAAAUGGUCUCGAAGGGGUUGGGCUUCGGCGGCUGGACCUUCAUAGCCGCCGCUUUCGGUCCUAGUUUACUUUUCUUCUUCUUCUUCGUCUCCUUCGCGGUGCUGUUGUCGUCGGAGCGACUGAGCUUUGGCAAUUUGCCGGCGAAGGGGUUUGGUUUGGGGGACUGGUGCUUCAUGGAUGCGGCGCGUGGGCCGGACUUCAGCUUCGCCAUGGCUGAGAGAAGGUGGUGGUGGCCGUUGGUAGGGUUUAUGGAUGAAGAAGGAAAGGGGUAAGGGUUUUGCAGUGAGAUUUCUGAUUUUGGGAGUUGGGUCGGGUCGAUUCCGGUUUGGUUCGACUCGUUUUGGGCCCAAAGCUCCAACGGUAUUCGGCGUAUCCCACCUCAGUAUCAAGUACGUACUAUACUGUAUUCUAAAGUCUUAUCUUCCAAGAUACUUAUUGAUCGCCUAAAUGACAAGAUUAGACCUGUAAAUAGACCGGAUCUUGAUCCGGACCCGCUCUGGAUCCGUGGUUUUUAAACUGGUUUGGAUCGAAAAUUAGACCCGUUGAUCCGUUAAGGACUCGGAUCUGUUAACCCGUUUAUUAAACGGAUCGGAUACGGAUCGAGGUUGAUCCGAUCCGUUAAGGACCCGGAUCUGUUUUAAAAUAAUUAAAUAAUAUUUUUAUAAAUAUAAUAUUAUUAAAAAAUAUUAAAUAAUAUAAUAAUUAUUUGAAUAACCUAAACGUCUAAAGUAUAAUCAUUUGAUGAAGUUGAAGGUUACUGAUACCUAUGUUCUUUUUAUACACUUUGCUAAAUACAUUGGAGGUUUAGUAUUUUGAAUAUAUUAGUUUAUUGUUAAGGAGUAUUUUGGUCAUGUAAUUCAACUUUUGAUGUAAACUUUUAUUUUGUUAUAAUAUUUCAUUAGUGUUUUAUGAAAAUUUAUAAUAAAAUUAAGAAAUUAUUAUUUACAAAUUAAAAAUAUUUAUAAUUAUAAACGGAUCGGAUUAACGGGUCGGGUAUUCGUUAACCCGCCGGAUCCGGAUUUGGAUCUAGCUAUCAAAGAUCCGGCGGGUAACGGGUCGGAUCCGGAUCCAAAAUUUCUAUUACGGAUCCGGAUCCGGAUCUAGGUAGAUCCGCUCCAGAUCCGGUCCAUUUACAAGUAUAGACAAGAUCCGUUGUCCAAGAUACAUUGAAACUUUUGCUAGCCCACUCAGUUCCAUUCAGAAGGGAAUUGCUUACCUGAUGAUUAAGUGAAUAUGGGCAAUUAGUACAAUUCUCUACCGUUGUAGAUUGUCAUGUCUUAUCGUUUGAUAACGUUUCAAAUCGAUUAUUGUAAAAGUUUCAGUUUUUAAAUUUUUUGUUGUAAUCUUAAGCGGUCUUACCUGAUGAUUUAGUGAAUAUGGGUAAUUGAUACAAUGAUCUACUGUUGAGCAUCUCCAGCAGUAGAGUUAAAUUUAUUGCUAAAUUUGUCAACAUUUAGAUUUAAAAUAACAAUUUUUAAACUUUUGCUCCAGCAGUGUUGCUAAAUUAUAUACAUUAGCUAAGUUUUAGUUAAUUAUCUCCCCAAGAUUGAUAAAUUGAUCAAUUUUCUCCAUCAAUUUCUAAAUUUAUCAACUUCUUAAGCAUACUGCUGGAGCAAAUAUUCAUUUAAAAAUUGAUAAAUCUCUAAUUUUUUUUAAUUUAUCAAUACUGCUGGAGAUGUUCUAUCGUUUGCUAGUGUUCAAGUUAGUUGUUGUAGAAAUUUUAGAUUUUAAGUUUUUUGUUGUAAUCUUAAGCAGUCUUCCUAUUGUAAAACCAAACAAUUUAGAUUAUCAAAAUGGACUUGCAAAAGUCAGUAUUCAUGUAUUACUUAGUCACUUGAGCACUCGAGUCAUGACAAAAUAUUAUUUUUGACUAUCCAGCCUCAAUUAAAACUAUGAUUGUGGAGUUUGCAACUAAGUUUUUCAUGAUUAAAGAUUCUGACUGGACACAUUGUGAGCAAUUGGCAAACAAUAACAGAAGUGCUAUGAGUAUGAAUUAUAAGUCAUCACUAGUUAGCUAGAUUACCAUGGUUAGUGAGUGGAAAUCAGCAUAGACUUCAUUUGCAUCAUGACUCAUGAGAUGUAGAGAUGUAUAGAUUGCUAUAAAGUGGCAGAGAAUGAGGUUUAGUCCCCACUCCCCAGUGUCCUCCUAAUUCCUAACUAAGGGGGGUCAUGUCCCAGAAAUAUAUACUUAGGUUGGGUUUUAGGUCAUGUGUUAGCACCAUCUGCCUUUACACAUCGAACUACUACGGUACAGCAUCUAAAGAAAAUCAUGCAUGACCAUAAUCAAGGACCCCAUGUUGUCUCUUAAAGCAAUAAUAAUAGGCACCAAUGGGCAAUGGCAGCCUGAGUAAAGACAUGACACAUGAGUAACACUUAUCCAUUCACACAUUAUUAUUCACUAUUCAAUAUGCCUUUAUACAAAACCAAUUACACUAUCAUAUAAAUCUUGCUCAUAAGUCUAUGUCUGCCUGAUUAGUGCUGGUUUUACUAGGCCAAGAGCCAGAAAUCUUUCUGGCGCUUUGUAGUGAUCAAGUACCCUCCAACCUUCUUGCUUUUCCUCCUCACUGCAAUCGCCAUGCAACUGGCAUUCUGUAUACAGUACUCCACCACCCCGCCCCCGCCACCGACACGGUUGCUCCCCGCCCACAUCAUCAGCAGCCGCCACGUCGUAGACCUCUUCUUCUGUCCCAGAACCAGCAGUGACACCCCUUGCUUUUUGGCCUCUUCCACUAUUGUUGGCCCUUUCUCCUUUUUCCCUAAUUCCACCACUGCAACCUCAGUUUGUACCUAUCACCAACACUGAUCAUCAUCACGAAUUUACAUUAUAAAAGCAAUGACAUAAAGUUAUUACUGUCUUUUCUAUAAUGCCAUGUAAAUAAUCAUCAUUAAUCACCUUAUAAGAAGUAUCUCAUCAUUAUAUAUACACAAGACUAAACUGGAAAUUAUCAUAAAGACAAGCGAGUUUCAUAUGCCUAUUAAGGCACCCAACAUUAUACAUGUCAAUGAUGUCCUUCAACCACCCCCUUUAACAAAGUAGUAUUCUAAAUGAAAGAAGCAGUAUGCUUCAACCUCUGUUAUACUCUGCACACAAAGAUAGAUACGUACAUAUUGCUUACCCAGAACAAAUGUACUAAAUUUGCUACAGGAAAGAAGAAUUCUAGUUAAUUUUGGUUCAGUUGGUAGAUAGUAAGAUUAUUCCAGGGAAAAAACUGUUGUGCAGGGAAGAAAAACGUAAGUUAAAACUUGUACAUAUUGCAAUCGAUGAGCUCAAUACACACACCUCAGGUCUCUUCAGCUGGCACAUAUUCCUCAGAGAAUGAACAAGUUCAUAAGCCCUUGGAGCUAUAAUAUCCUCACCUGUAAUUGUAACGAAUGAUCAAAUUCGAAAACCACUUCUCUAAGCUGAAAGAUAAUCAUCAGAAGAAACUUAAAACUAAAAAGUUCUCAAACCUUGUUUUGAAGUUGAAGGUUUGGUUACAUGUAGCAGUACAAGCUUGUCCUGGUUCUGAACAGUGUGAGAAAGAGCCCAUUGCAGAGCUCCCUUGGCUUCAAUGCUCGAAUCAACCACAAUCAUGAUCUUCCUCGCAAAAACCACCCCGGAUUUUUUAGCCCCAUCUCCAUCUGUAACUUUCUCUUCUCCAGCAUUGCCACAAUUCUCAACUUUCCCACCAUUUUUAGUGAUCUCUGCAGCAUCUAGUUUCGACUGUAUCGGUGGAGAACGAACUCGAACAUGAGGCCUAAUCCUGUUGAGGCAGAAACUUGGCAACUUUGUGCCUAUCCUCCCCAUUUGUCCUCAGAUAGAAAUGAGACUACCUUGAUUGAGACUGAAACUAAGGACCAGAAAUUGUUAUAAAGAGGAGGGUUGAAGAAGGUCUGCAAUUUAUUCUAGAGAAGCUUAUAUGGGCCAUGCAUGUUUAUAUUUUGCUUUGCUCUUCUUCUUUUUUUUCCUUUUUAUCGAGGAGUAAUCAUGUUAGCUAGGGUCUUUGUUUCCUUUGUAUUUCUUCUUUUCUGCGCGGGAUGGGGCUAUGAACGUGGUUGUCAUGAAGCUGUAGGGCCAUUUCAGGACCAGCAGUAUUCACUUCAGAUAGUAAUCUGGCAUGUUACUGCAAUCAGUUUUCUUAAUAUUUCUUCCACGAACUUGUUCCUCGCAAAUUAGUUUUUAUGUUGUAGUGAGCAGAAACAAUCAUAUGCUUUUAUGUUGUAGAGAUCGAUCUCUAGUAAGAUGAGAAAUUGGUGAACAUCUAAGAUCGAUCUAACCGUAUUGAGAUUCGUAUUAAUUUUUCAGGACAUUAUUUGGAACAUUCUGCAUAGAUCGAUCUCAACUGAACACAACAUAUUAUCGCUUGCAAACUAUCACAACGUUUAAAUUUCAGCUCCAGGGCCCUUUACUCCUUCUAUUUGAGAUUAUGUUAGUACAUAAUUGUUAGGUUUUCGAAUCAGUAAUCCCAAAUGUGCUGGCAUCCUCUUGGGGCAAUUAUUAGUGCUGUAUGAUUGAAAUUUGGAUUAUGUAAUUUGGAACUUUGCAAAGGCUCGAUAUUAUCACUUGUUAAUUUUAUGCAUUUUAUAAAGAAGUAGCUUCGCUCAAACGCAACCAAAGUUAUCAUUUUACCAGUAAUCAACUCGAAUGAAAUCUAAUUAAUCAUGCUUGUUUACCACCUAAAAAUAUGUAAAUCAUUGACCAUAAAGCUCAACUGCAAUUUUGAUACGUACAAGUAAUUGGGUUUGCUUGUAUAGCGCACCGGCUUCUCACUCACUGUUGCAUCUGCUUCUCAAAUCAAAACCGAGACAACACGACAUAUAUAUAAGUUUGAUGCUUCUAAACAAUUUUGUUUGUUCAUUAAUUUGCACCAAAAAAGGGACGUGCCAAUAAACUCCAUUUUGACUUCCAAUCUCCAAAAGCAAAGCCAAUUUGAGAAAGAUGGAGGAUUUGCAUGUCUUAUGAUAACAAACCGCCCAACCAUGAUGCUCAUGUGAGUCAUGUCCUUCCAAUUCAAGACAAUUAUAUGCGAAAAAGUUGCCACUGCUAAAACCUAUAAGCAUAUCUCCUCAAAGUUGCCAACCAUGUUUAUACUUGAUAUGAUAUGUGGUGUAUGAACCAAUCCACAUAAACAUACAAUUUCUUAACUCAUCUCAUACUUGAUCUUACAAUGUCAAUGAGAUUUGAUCUUAUAACCUUUACGGUAUUAGUGAUCUUGCUAACCAACAAGCCACUACUUAUAGACAAUCAUAGAUCUGGUUGAACAAUCCUUAACUAUUAUGAGUAUUAUCGUCAAUAUUUAUUAUUAUUAUUAUUUUUUUAUUUUUUUGUAUAAAAGACUCUUGGAAGGUGGCUUGCAAAUGGGCCUGUUUAUUAACAUGCUCCGAGCAGGCUAUGUGAAUGAGCGCAAAGGCCCAUAUUAGAUAACAAUUCAUAUCCUACUUCUUACCCAAUUAGGAAAAGGACAAUAGUUAGUCUAAAGAGGAAAUCUAUAAAUACUUCUUGUUGCUGUUUCUCUGUUCCAUAGUUCUGCAGUGGUUGUUUGUUUGGGAUUUUGGUUCUUGGUGAAUUGAUCGAUCCACGUUCUGAAGUAAGUGAUGGGUUCUGUUUGUUGUUGUGGUCCUAAGAACGAUCCCAAAGAUGAUGAAGAAACUGUGCCUGUGUCAACAAGACCACAUAUAAUGGGGGAAGUCGUCGGAGAACUUGGUUACGUCUACGCUUCGUCGGAAGAGGAUGAAGAUGAAGGAAACGGCCGGAGAAACGAAUUACAGCAAUGGUGGAGCUGGAAUUACUGUAACGGAAAGCCGAACGCCCUGGACGAGAAUCUUCUGGCUAAUUAAGUACCAGAUUAGUUAACCUAAACGUUUGUAAACCAAGUUUAGUAAUUAAUCGUCUGAUAUAGGGUUUACUUACAACAUAGUGGUUCAAUAUCUGUGCGAUUUUUGCAACAACAGAAAAAAAAACCCAUUAUCUCCGGACCUGAAUAGUUUGGUCCGACGAAAUUAGAUCUUCUACUUUUCUUUCACAACUUUGAUGAUUACAUCAGUGAGAUUCUAGUUACGUAUCCUUUCCUUUUGCUAAAAGGAUUAUGUUCGAGUAUGGAAGUAGAGCUCGAGAUAAGAUUUCCACAGUUAAAAAGUAAAAACAGAAGAAACAUCAAGUAAAAAUGUUUUGGAGAAUCCACGAUAUCUUUUAGACCUUUAAUUCCGGAUUUCGGCGUAAAUCCUUACGCAACUCAAGUAAGGAUUCCCAAAACGAUACGAUUUUCGAAUUCAAUUGAUUCUAUGUUCAACCCUUUGUUAUAUCUCUCUUCUCUUCUAUUUUCUUUAAUUUAUUAAUUAAUAAAUAAGCGCCUUCAUUAGCUUCUAUCUCUUAAUUCACUCCUACUCGAUCUUUCUGCUUCUUCCGUUUUCUUUCCCAUCGUUUAAUAUUUCUGGGAUUCUUGGUAGUCAAGAGGAGGCCAUCGCAAUCUGCUCUGGUUUCAAAGUAUGUUUCUUAAAUCUCUAGCUCCACCUAUGUAUUGUGAUUUCAAUUCUUUUCGGAGUCUGGAAGAUUGGAACUCUGGGAUGUAUAUUAGCUUUAAUUUUUGUCUUGAGACUUUUCUUGUUCUAACAGUCAUCAUGCGUAUGAUUAUAUGAUGGUUUAUGUGAGAUUUUGAUCAUUGAUUAAAAUAGAAUGGUUUCCCCCUCUCCCCCUCUCUCUAUCUAUUUUUUCUUCUCCUGUGACGUAACUUUUUUUUUUGGACGAUUCGUGCCGAUUCGUGCAGGGUGUGACUGAAAGUUCAAAUAGAAGCUAGUUGAGGCGAUUUUCUUGAUGGGUUGUUUUUUCUCUUGCUUUGAUGUGAACGAUCCUUUGGAUAACACGCAGAAUGCUAACAAUGCCAAUGAUGGUAACCGGAUCAUCAUCCCUAAUUUGUACAACAAGGUACAUGUUUCAGAAUUUCCAUCACUUUUCAUUCCAUAUAGUCGACUAUAUAUGAGUGUGUGAUAACCCUAACAAGUUUGAUGUUAAGCAGAUUGCGUCCGUUAACGAGGUAGCUCUUGGAAGUAUACAAUGUGAGACUGGCAGGGAUGCUGCCACUGCUACUGCUAUUAUCCGAUCCCUUCCUGGUGAUCCCUUUCUUAUUGAAAAGGAGAUUGGAGGACAACGUUACCUUUACCCUUCGUCGAUAGAAGAGGAAGAAUGCCCUACAUGUCUUGAAGGUGAGUAUUGCUCUUAAAAUCUGUUUAUAGCGAUACAUUUUCACUUUGAUUUGGUUUUCUAGCUAAUUAGAUACGCUGAAUGUAUGCUGAGGCUCCUUGAUUCAAAAUUUCUGCAGAAUAUACACCUGACAAUCCAAAGAUAAAAACAAAGUGUUGUCACCAUUUCCACCUUGCUUGUAUAUAUGAAUGGUUGGAGAGAAAGCAAACUUGUCCAGUUUGCAGCCAGGUAACCAAUUUCUCUAGCUAGCUUAAUACUGUUUAUAACAUGAUAUUUAUAGAACUUCCUUCAAAUUGAUUAAUAUAUGAAUUCUUACACGGCUCAACGCAAAGGCGAAAAUUUAAUCAUGAAAUUGUGGUCUUAUCACAUACUAAAUAGAGAUUUGAAAAGGAUACCAGAGAAGAACAUACAUGGAGAUUUGAAAUUAAUGUACAAAUAGAAUACUGGUGCUGUGAAAACUAGAAAACUAGAACUAUGUAAGGCACACUUCCGGUGAAAGUAUUAGCCAAUGUACUGGGAGAUAAUAGUUGUGGUGUGUUUGUAAUAAAAUAGCUACAAGAGUACUACUUAAUUCGUCCUGAACCUGACCAACUGCAAAUUCUUUUUGUAGGUGAUGUCAUUCAAUGAUCUCUGAGAACACACAACUGCAACAGCUAGCUAGCGAAGUAGAAACAUUCCUAUAUAAACGCAGAAGAGGAUAUUGGUCAAGCAAUCAAAUUAAAUUUCAAGGAUUGAGAGAAGCCUUUUAAAUGAUCUGUAAUGUAUUGUUCCAAUUCUUCAAGAGUGAAGCUGUAAAUGCAAUAAUUCUGGGCUUAAAUUUAUAUUUCAGUGGGAAUCAUACACCAAUUCCAUAUAUAAAUGAUGGCAAUCCCAUUCAAAUUCCACAUCUCGUUAGCGAUUUUGUUUUUCUAGUCUUUCUUUCAUGAUAGUAACUUGGUAACUUGUGUGCAUACUUAUCUUAGAUUUCUUUCCUACUUACCCUUUGACAUUAUUUGCUAAAUUAGACAACUCUAGGUAUACACCUUAUAUAUUAGAAAAGCCCAGACCUCAAUCAGUUUGCUUAAAUAAACAGGAAGACUCUGUCUCACAAAUCUACAAGUACUUUGUUAAAACAAUUUUCUUAAAAUUACUGCACAAUAUACGUAGAAAUUUAUAGGAAAUUUCCAUCAAGUUCACUAAUUAAGAUACAGUGAAUUUUUUUCAAGCCGCAUAAAGUUUGGCAAUAUAUAAUAUUUUGAUAACAUCAAGAGAGCUAGAGAUCGAAGUAGAGAAUUGUAGCAAAACCCAAUAAUCUUCAGUAUAUAUACUGAUCGAUCACAUUGGAUGUCUUAAAUCCACCGCUCACCAAUCAAGCUUACAUUAUACCACAAUAUCUGGUGAAGCACUACUAUAUAGAGCGAGUAUAUAACCUUAACCUUAUGCUACUAGUGCACUUAGGGAUUAAUAUUACUUGGUGAUGAUAUUCAUGAAGCAAAGCAUCCAAGGUGGCAUGAAUACAACGAUGGCUCGAGAGUAAGGUCGAGCUGGUUCCUCCUCACCUGAAGGAACUGAUCAUUUUGCUGAGUGCCCCUGCAUAUAUCAUAAGUUCAUAACCAUAUACCGUAUUAUACUAAGGCCCAAGUAUUUUAUAAUUUAAGUAUGAAGUAUGGUACGUAAUAGGAUCUUACCCCAUGUUCAAACAUGGAAUUGGACCCUGUGCUAGCAGGUUAAGGCCAUGGUUUUGCUGCUGCUGCUCCCAGUCAUGAACCUCCUGAGCUUCCGCUACAUUCUUCUCGUGCUCCUUAAUCUAUAUUAAUAAUGUUGAUUAAUUUAUGAAAGCAGAACCUAAUGAGAAGAAGAGCCGUGCAUUAUCACAUAAAUUAGAAAAGACAUUGCUAGCAUAUAUGAAAAUGACCUUCUUUGAAAGCAAGUUGUUCUGCUCCUUGAUUGCCUUCUCCUGUUACAGUGAGGAACAAAAAGAAAGAAUUUAUGAUGAUCAGAUUUUGAGACUGCAAGUAAAUGGAUACACACAUACAUGUGUACACCUUACAAAUCAAGUAUAAUUGCAUGUCCUCGCCUUUCACAGACCAAUGAACCAAAACUCUACUAUAAUUGACUUGUACGAAUCAAAAUUCUUAACUAGUUACCAAGAAUCUCACACAAAGUGACCAAAAAAAAAAAAGAAUCUCACACAAAGUGACAAAACAAACAAUUGCUUAUUAUAAAGUUUAGUAUGUUAAUAAAUAGUUAGUGUGCAAAAUGGCCAUGGCCGAACCUUCCUCUGUAGCUCAGAGAUCGACUCAUGCAUGAGUUGGUUCUGCAAGAAAUCAAAAUAUAUAUAUUAGCACUAGAUCAAACUAGCUGCAGACUAUCACUAAUCAACCCAGCUAGCAUACUUUUUAUCAAAAAAAAAAACCAGCUAGCAUACUUUUCUUGAUCGAAUUUGCUUAAGAGCAGUUUCAAGCUGUUGCUCCAAACUUUGGAUCUCUUUGAUACUCAAUGAAUCCAGAUCUUCUCCCAAAUAGUGCCUGCAGUUUGAUUGGUUUAAGCAAAGAAUCAAGAUGAAUCAAUCAAUUCAGGACAGAAUCAUUCUGGGGCAAGUUAUUACGAGAGUAGUGAAGCAGCCAUCUAUAUAUACCUUAGGUUUCUCUGCAGAAGCUCAACUUUCACCUUCAGCCUAGCAUGUUCGAAGGGCCAGUUACCCUGCAUUAAGUACCAAGUGACCUAAUUGAUCAGUAUAUAUAUAUAAUAUAUGAAGAACCACAGUCAAGUGACGGGAAAAUGGAAAGUACCUGUGAAUCAAAAUCAGGUUCCACUAGCUGUCUCUCUGCAUAUGAGUACCUCUCAUAGCGUUCAAGUAUAUCCUCCAUGCUGCACAGCCAAAACGGAGCUUGACCAAUAUAUCUAACAUGAUGCACUUAACUUAUAUAUGCAACCAAGAGAGCUAAAUCUUCAAGGGUCUAUCUGUACUUAACCGUAUUAAGGAUAGGAGGAGUUUCUCAAGAGUUUCAUGAAAGCAUACAUCAGAUUGUUGUAUGAAUUAAACCAUUAAAGGCUUUAUGCUAAGGCAUUUUACAAUUUUUACUAAUUCCAUCAAACAAAAAAUUACAUCUUACUGGCCCCCAUUAGGAUAUUACUGAUAGUUUAAUCACAUACUAUUUCUAUAUAUAUAUAUAUAUAUAUAUAUGCACAGUUUCUUGAGAGAUAUUUGAGCUUUACUUGUUUGAAACUAAAUAAUUAACUAAAUAAUGCAAACAAUGAGACUUCUUGUGUCUUUACUACUUGUUUGAGAAAACAUUGCAUGAUGCCCUAGCUACAAAAUUACAUGUUUCGAGUUGGACUAACAAUGGAAGAAAUUAAGUACUGAAAGAGCUGGUAUAUAUACUAGCGUUGCAUACUUUUUAUUCUUUAGAUUUUGCUUAUUUAAACUCAGAAAAACGUUACAAAAAUAUUACAGAUAUCAGUAAAUUACAGAGCUUUAGAUUUGUACACCAAAAAGUCCAGGAAUUCAGAUUGCAUCAUUUUUUUUUAACUUUUGACUGUGUUGUCCUCUCUUCUUUUAAAGACAUGUGUGAUAAUGGAAUAUUCCAUCCAGGUUUUCUACACCUCUUCCGCACUUCUUCAUUAAUCCUUCAUAAUAUUUUCUGUGUUGCUAGAAAAAAAAUUCAGUUUCUUUUUCUUAAUUUGCAUAUUAUAAAAUCAGAACAGUUUGAAAUCAGCUCUGGAAUCAAGUCAUCAACUCCAGAGUUAAGUUUAUAAAGAUGUAAAUUAGUAGAUUUUUCACAGGAUGCUGCACAUCAACCCAAACCCAGGUCAUCUAUGCUUAAGUAUCCCCAAAAGCAGAUGAAGUACUGAUAAAUCUCACAUAAAGAUUUUUCAUCUAGGUCAUUAAGCUCUACUUUAUAUCAAAUCAAGCACUCUUAACCAUUAGAUCGAUCCCAGCUAGCUUGCAUCCACUUGAUUAAUUAGCUGCUUUAAUAAGAACUUGGUCUUAAUGUUUUCUUUGUUGAACAAUAAGAAGUUCUUAUUAUUAAGCACCAAAAUAUUUGCAUAAUAUUAAUAUUAAUCUCUAAGCUUGGAUUUAAAAAGACAGAUAAGAAAAAUAUAACAAAGGAGCAGAAGGAGGAGAAGAUGAAGAAGAAGAAGGAGGAGGAGGAGGAGGAGAAGAAGAAGAAGAAGAAGAAGAAGAUCGAGGGUGGCUAGCUAGGUUAUGAGAGAGAUGAGUAGUACCAUGAAUCAGUUGCGUAUUCAAAGAGCUUCCCUUUGUUAGAGAAGACAAUCAAAGCAACCUGAGCAUCGCACAUGACAGAGAUCUCAUGCGCCUUCUUCAGCAACCCAGUUCUUCGUUUCGAAAACGUCACCUGCCUGUUGAUCUUGUUCUCUAUCCUCUUCAGCUGAACCCUACCCCUUCCCAUAUUGAUGAUAAAUAUUUCUACCUGAAUCAAUGACUACUUUCCUUUUCUAUUUCGAUCUUUCAGAUAAACACCCAAACAAGGUAAAGCCCCCAAAAAAAGAAAGACAACCUGAAACUAGAGAGGAAAAUUUAAUGGGUUGUUUCUUCUUCUAGCUUAGCCAUAUCUGAGAGGUUUGUCUGAGGAAAAAAAGUAAUGUGCAUAGUGUAUAUAUGGAAAAGGAAAAUAGGGGAAUUUAGGAUUUUAUUUAUUUAUUGGAAGCUUAAAAGCGGUUUUAAGAGGGUAGGGGUGGUUUUUGUGGAAAAUAAAAAAACCGGUGUGGCUUUAAGGAUGCGCUGUCCACUCCCCAUCGGAUAGUAGUACUAUGUGGUCGCUUCCCUGCGAAAUUGACAACUCGCACAUCAGUUCUGUGUAUGUUAUUGCUUUGGUUAACUAAGUACAGUAAAAGUAAUUAUUACAGCAAGGCCAUAUUUGGGACUUGGAAGGAUUUAAGUACUGAUCUAUCUGAUUAGUUAAUUUGUUGUUCAUCUUAUACUAUUGCAUUUGCAUGUUAGGAGAUGGGUCAUUUGUACUACGGGUGCAUGUCUGUUUUUGGUGAUGUUGAUUUAUCUGUUAAGAUAUUUAUUUUUCAUUAACCGACAAACUUUUACAUUAAACUAUCGUGUUCGACUUUAAAAAAAAUAAAUAUAAAAUAAAAAAAAUAAAAAAAUUAUAGUGUUCAAUACCACCGAAUGAAUUAACAUUUUACUAAGAAAUUAAAAUUUACACUCGUUUUACAAUUCACACUUGUGAUUUCUGUUGUAGUAAGUUUAAUUUUAUCUUUAGUAACAUGUGUACGUUUUAUCUAUUUAUAAAAGUCUUAACCAAUAAAAAGAAAGAAAAAUGUAUGUAGACCGGAAAAUUAAGUGUGCGGAUUUCAGUUUCCUGGCAAAAUAUUUGUAUAUUGUGCUUAUUAUUGUUUUUGUUAUGUGAUCCGGGUUUUUUCCUUUUUUUUAUCAAGUAAAUAACUUAAAUAUUACAACUUCGUGAGUCGAACUCAUAAUCUCUUACAUACUAAGGGGAGACUAUACCGUUAAACCAAAUAAUAUUGGACGAGGUUUUUUCCCCUUGUGUUGAAGGAAAUAAUCAUUUUCAUUUUUCAAUAUAUUCAUUGAAUAACUCCUAAGAAAAGUCAUGUGGAAGUAUUGAAUUGCCUUCCAAGCAGGUGUGGGGGUCUGUGGGAUAUAUGCAAUUUUAGUGAUUCAUGUCCCUAGUCCAUGUAUGGUAACCCUAUAAAUUAAACAGUAAACAUCGUAUAUGUCCGACCUACCGACAAUAUAUAAGGGAUUGGCCUACGUCUUGAACCCUCCAACCCAAAUUUAGAAAUCCAGCUACUUAAUUCACAAAACCUUAUCUCUUUAAUUAGGAAUUCUUGUCCCCAAGGUUAUGUAGCCACUCAAAUAUAACCAAGAACAUGCAUGAUGUGCGUCAAUAAUGUCUCAUAGUACAGGAGUUGGAUACCUUAUUUGUAUAUGAAUUGAAUUCUUUCCUAUGAUUUGGUUAUGUAUAUAUGAGAAUUAGUUUAUUUCUUUUUCGAAAUCUGAAAAGAUGAUGUCUUUGUUAUCUUGGCAUAAAUUGACAUUUCUCAGUGAAAAGAAGGAGGAGAUCGAGUAUCAUAUUGGGUAUUCAAUUGAACACCACCACCACUAUAGUUCACUAUCGACCAUAUUAGACAGCUCAAAGACUUCAAAGCAUCCAUGCAUUAUGAUUUAUGAGACAAAUCCGCAACGAGUCUAGGUUGAGACUGCUACAUUGUUCGAGUGAUCACGAUUGUAGCUGUGAUUAAAUCCAGAUAGAACACAAAUACAAACGGAGAUCGAGUAGUUUGAUCAUUCUUGAUUAUGAAACCGCAUAAUUAAGAUUUAUAGUUACCCUAUCGAUCUGCAGUGUUUAGUUGUUGCAUUGUAAACGCUCAAAGAAACCUUGAGCUGAUUGAGCAGUAGAUGGGUGGCCAUUUGGUAUACUUGGCUGAUUUGCUUUUAUUGAACCUCGUUGAAGACCUUCAUUACUCUCUUCCAACUGUGACCAACAUGAAGCAGAUUCAGAAUUAAAAUACAUUAAUAAAUCUACAUUCAAGUACAAGGUUCUGGCCAUAUAGAUAUAAAUAUAUACCUUCAUUCUCAAUUCAUCGUUUGCUUCCAGCAGCAGCUUUUCCUGCAGAUGAAAUUCUUGAAAGACUUACAUAGGUAACAUAACAGUCACACCUAGAUUCAUAUAUCGACCAAUGAUAACGUACAUAUUAAAGUAAUGUUAGGUGAAUUACUAAUUUCGAUCCCACCUAAAUUCUACCUUAUGUGACAAACAUCAAUGAAUGAAAUACUUUGAUAUGGUGAAUUGGUGAUUACAUUUUCUGCCACAUAUACAUGAAAUCGAGUUUUAUUAAUAUGGUUCAUCUAGUAUUAUGCAAAAGGUUAAGAUCAAUAUAUAUACCUUCUUUUGAAGAUCGGAAAGCUGUUCAAGUAUAUUUUGGCUCUGCAAUCAAAUAAGGGUAAUUAACUUGGAUAAAGUAUUUAUGUAGCUAGAUAUAGUGUCUUAGAAUGAUAUAUGGUUUCCAAGUAGCCAAACCAAAAACUUCGUUUUUGACGAUAACAACCACAAGGGCAGAAGAUAUACAAUCAACCUGGUUAACAAUUGAAACUCCAAACUCCCCAAUCGGUGGAAGAAUUCAGAUAUAUUCCACAAAAGUAAAUAAAUCAAUAUAAGCUACAGAUAUGAAAUUACCCCCGGUCACUUAGAAACUGAUGAAAUCCUUAAACAAUACGAUGCAAAGCUUAAAUGGCUUCACAAAAAUAACUGUUAUAUGCAACUAGAUUAGCCAUCCACAACUACUAUAUCCCGUAGUUAGGAAACAAAAGUGGAUACCUGUCUUGACCUAACUCGCUUCAACGACAAAUCUAGUUCAUUCUCAAGCUGCUGAAGCUCCUCUAUGUCUAAAUGUUCCAAAUUUUCCCCAUCAAGACGUCUAAGAACACGAAGUGAAAAUCCACAUAUAAGUAUUCAUUCCCAGUGAUUUUUCAUGUGAUCUAUCACUUAGGUACAUAUCAAUAAGGUGCAUAAUUAUGUGAAGAGUGUUCUAGUUUCAAAUUCUGUUGACAGAAUGCAUGUAUACAUGAGUCCUGGCUACAUCUAGAGUUCAAAUCUAUGAUCACUUUGGUAUCUUAAUCGAACUACCUCUGCGUGCGUUGUAGGACCUCUACUUUCGCUUUUAGGUUCUCAUAUUCUUCGUAUCUGCUCUGCUAGAUAACAUGAAAGCAGUUCUAUCAACAAUCAACAAGAGCAUAAAUAGGACUUGGUGUGUGGAGGAAAAUUUCAUUACCAACAUACAGCUAACAGAGAUAGCUAGAGAGGUUUUGUAUUUGUUAAGUAAGAAGAAGAUUUGGAAAAUAGGCAAGUGCUAAUUCGUAUAACCUAGCUAGCUAAUUAACCUGUGUAUCCUGAGCAGGUUGAGCAGCUUCCAGUUCUGCAUAAGUGUAUCUUUGAUAUUUCUCAAUUGUCUUCUCCAUGCUGAUAAUGAAAUUGGACAGAAAAUUAAACCACCAACAAUUGCAAUUAGAAUGAGGGCAUGCAGGAAAGUAAAUUAAUUAAGGAACAAACGGGUUGUUCAAAUUAGGUUAAUAAUCCGUAAAGUUGACAUCCUUGUGCUUUGUUGUAAACCACCAACAAAUGCCCUCAUUCAAAUAAUUAAAUAUGAUUAUAGUCAUAGUGAUCUAACAAAGAAAUAAUGUUGGCAUUCUCUCAUUGUUCACUUACAAAUGAUGGAUACUAGUAAAUAAAUCAUGGGAGGUCAAUUUAAUUUACACAUAAUUAGUUCGUGUAUAACAAAUUAAAAGCUACUAAUUUUGAUCAAGUUCUAAAUUCAAAUCCAAAAUUAACUAGAUUUGCAACAAGGAUUACUCGAUCUACACCCAAUUAAGUUAAACCACACUAGUUACCCCAUAUAUCAAAGAGGAUGUACAGUAAAUCAUUUGUAACAUAUGAUUUGAACGCUUGCAAGUGCCAUGCCAGUAUACAAAAAAGUACCUGAAUAGCCUGACAACCCUCACAAGUCACAAGUCACAACAGAAGUACUAUAGCUAACUGUAUAUAGAUACUUGUUUUUGCAGUAAGUUAGCAAGCUAGGAGUCAAAAACUUGCAUAUAUAUAAUUAUAUAUGAUGAGUUUAUUUAUUUUACUAAUUAUAUUUCUAGUUUUCUACAUGGGUGUGUAGUAUAUAUGUAUCUACCACUGGACUGAUCUCACAUCAGGUCAAAAGAAAAGAGAGAUUAACGUAGCUCCUUCAGAAGAAAUGAUCAUAAUUAAGCUUAAUGUAUAGGGUGACCAAAUCGAUCAAAAUCCAUUUCCCUAAACAAAUGUGCUGAAUUUCUUCUUGGGUACAGCAACUGAGCAAAGGAAAUUGAAACUCCUCACCUAUGACUCAUAGUAGGCUCAUACAUAUAUUUCUCAUGUAAAAUGAAAAAUGAAAAACCCAUCUCCAAAAUCAAAAGCAAACGAUCGAUUUCCCUAUUACAAUAAUAGACCACCCUUAAUCCUGAAGAGCUAGCAAGAUUAAUAUUAAUCCUCAGAUGUAAGUAUGUACUUAUAUAGAUUAAACUAUUAGGGGGGAGGACAGCAGAUCGAUGUGAAGCUGUAAAUACUGGUACCUGGGGCCGCUGCAGAACUCAUAGAGCUUGCCACGGCUGGAGAAGAUGAUGAGAGCAACCUCUGCAUCACAGAGAAUGGAGAGCUCACACGCCUUCUUCAGCAACCCGUUCCUUCUCUUGGCAAAUGUUACUUGCCGAUUUAUCUUGUUCUCGAUCCUCUUCAGCUCCACCUUCCCUCUUCCCAUUUCGACGAUGAUCAACAGCUACUGCUUUAGCUAGCUUCUAAUAUUUUAUUAUCUAUAAUAUACUAUUUGACAUGGUACUAGGUUUUAGUUUUCGCUUAAUAUAUUCUUCUUCUCUGAGGGUUAAGAUAAUAAAGAGCAGAAUAAGACGUUAGAAUUAUACGUACGUACGGUCUUCACCGGAAAAUCUACGGUCUUAUGCUGGGCACGUUAUCAACAAUUUACAAUAUCUGACGAUUCUAAACUCUGAAAGCGUAUUAUACAGGUCCAUCAUACAGCUCCCGGCCAGUUUUCUCUUCCGGUUCAAUACUGACGAAGAUUGGUCACUUUUGUCUCUCCUUUUCAGUCUCUUUAUUAAAACGAGAAUCAUUAUUGUCUGCAGCUGCUUAUUACUACAAAUAUGACAGCUAGCGGUGUCAACUCCGACUGCACAUUCCCAGCUUUAGGGUUUUUACGUGUCGAUCAGACAUAGCAUUGGGGAAGCUCGGGACCUUGGUGCAUGUACUUUUGUGUAUCCAGACGAUUUUGCCCCUGCGUUUACAGUUCAAGCACGCCUGCAGACUGCAGUUCAACAAUUGUUCCCCUUACAAAAGAGAGUAGAAGCAUAUAUGCUUUUCCAAUCUUUUAGUUGGUUGUGUUUCUUUUGGUGGGUACGUGUUGAGUCUUGGCGAGAAUGAGGAGGAUAAUAUCCUGGACGAAAUUGGUGAAUAAAUCUCGUUGCUCCGGUGAGUAAACGUACGAUUUUACCUUAGGUAAACCAUGUAGGACAAAUCAAUGUUGUUGUAUAGUAGUGCAGUGAAAAACAAUGGGAUAGACCAUCAAUGUGGUACUAAUUUAAUUACUUGUCCUCGAUCGACGAUGUGGGUUUCAUCCUAAAAACCUCCAUGUAAGAAACAGGGUAUCUGUUUAUAGUCCUAUAUUGCAACUAAUGGGAUCUCCAAUUAUCAAAUGGAAACUGAGACGGAGUUUACGUACCCUGCUGCUUCUGGAAAAGUAGGCAAUGAUCAUUCACAUCCCAACUUCGUAGUAGUACACACUAGUAUGUAUACCUCUACGCAUAUACGUAUAAGUAUGGCAGUGUGUACGGACUUGUUAGGGUCGGGUAUUUGACCGCCGGUAAUACGCUUGUGAUGUGAUUGGUUGAUAGGUAAAGAAGCUUGCGUGUUGACGAGUCAAGACGCGAUUGAGGAGGAUACGCUGGCUACGUGUCGAUUGCUAACCGCUUCGAACAGUGGCUCGUUAUGAUUGGGCCUAGGCCCAAAACAAAAGCCCGAAAAUUGAAAGGUUUUCGUUCUUCUUGCCCUACUUCCUCUCAUGCAUAAUUGACGCAUGAUAUGGAGUUAUGGUCUUAUGGACGAUUCGAUCUUUUUUCUUUCAUUUUGGGAGCAAAUUUUAUGAGCCAUGUUAACCUCAAUGAUGAGAUUGAUCAGGUUAGUGUUCUUGUGUUUUUUUUUUUUUUUUAAUGUUUCUGGUUGGGCGUUUUCACCUAGUUAGAAUGUGCAACAAAGCCGCUCCAUCAUAAUGUGUAGUGGCGGAGCUACUUGAAGACCGAAGGGAGACAAUUCAAUUUACUCGCAUGUUUAGUCGAUAAUUGACGGAUGUGAUGUGCUAAUUUUAACAUCAAAAGGAUGAGGUUUUGAAAAUUAUUGCAAUGUCUAUAUAUGAAGAAGAUGUGUUAUCGUUUUCACGGAAACACAUGAGGACCCAAAACAAGGAGGAGACCAGAGUUGUGUUCUCUUUUGGAACAUCUUUUGGAACAACACUGGAGCGAGCAAUGACUUCCAUGCAGCUUGAAAAAACAGGAAUGCGAUAUAUAGCUACCAAAGAAUUUUCUGUGAUAGCUAAAGGAUCGAGCACUAUAAGUGUAGCUAAUAUAGCCACGUCUAAUGUAGCCACUACAAAUACUUUGAUUGGUUCGAUUCCAGACAAAGAAUGAGAGAACUCAAAAGAUAAAUGUUCCCAAUUUCUCAUUGAUCAUAUUAUAAGAUAAAUGUUCAUUCCUCUGCAGUAGGAUUCAAGUUGUUAUUAUUAGGAUUGGAAAAAAUGCAUGCAUGUAUAUCCACUCUUAUCUUAUCUAGAUCGCAUUUUUGCUUCUCUUUAGCGGAGAAUAUAUAGCUGGUAAGCUAGCCCAGAGAUCAUUGAUUGAGAACACAUACUCCCUACCCAGAUUUAUACUCGAGGACUGAGGAUAUUGCUUGCCAGCAAUUUGGUACACUCAUUUAGAUCGACAUUGUGGCCUAUAUAUAUAUUGGGUGAGAGUUGAGACUUGGCUAGGGGACAUCUUAGAGGUCCUGGUCCAUACUGUCUUUGCAAUCACAAAAGAAGUUGGGGCCGUUGUUCCCCCAGUCUCAUAGGCUGAGCCGCGGAGGGGGUUAUCUUCAUAUUCUUAACAUCGAGAGCCUACACAGAAUUAGGGUUCUUCAAUUUGGUGCAUGCAUAUACUUAACACAGUUCACAUCUACUGUUGAUCUUAUUGUAUGUUGUACCAAUAAAUUUCCAACCAAUUAAUCCGAUUUAUUGUCACCGAUCAAUAAUGAAGAGAUCAUCAAAGGAUUCAUGAAUCCGACCAUCGAAGAUGAUUAUGAUCGAUCGAAUGGAGCCGGAGGCAUCAGUACGUUGUUAAUUAACAAAACUGAACACAAUAUCGAUCGAAUUUGUUUACAGAAACACUUACAAAGAGAAUCUGUAGGACCAAUUACAUAUUAAUCAUUAUCGAAGGUUUAUCAUUAAGAUAGAGGAAAUAUCUGAUGAUGCGACUAACGUUCACCAUUCGACAAUCCCAGAUCGGCAGAAGUUUAUAUACAUGCAUUAGCUAGAUCGGAAAGACAUGGACGAAAUUAACAAAAUAGUUGUACUGAAAAGGGCAAGUGGAGAGAUGGGACUGAUGGGAAAACGAAGACCAUGGAAGGUAACUUUAGGAAUGCAUGGUGCACAACGAAAGAAAGCUACUGAACAUGUUGAAGAUAAAUCUAACAUGAUUGUACAGGAUUAGCUAAGAGACUAAAUAUGCAGACGCAGCAAUCCUUUGGCAAAAUGUGAGUGAGUGGCGACAAGCAUAUAGGCAUGUUUAUCGUUUCAGACAUUUGAUGCAGCACCUUUGGAUCGUAAGUAGUGGACCUUAGAUAUGGGGCAGUAUAUGGAUUCAAGUUCGAUCAUCCGGAAAUUAAAUUGUCUGUGAUUUUGAUCCUUGUUGGCCUAAUUAACUAGGGCUUGUUUUGGCAAAUAAUGAUUGAUAUAUAGCUAGGGAAUGAUUAAUAGCUGCAUCAAGGUGAUGAACCUACGUCCAACAAGAUAAGAAAGAACAAGCUAGAGGAGUUCAUUAUCCUUUUGAUUCAUUGGGGUAAUGAUUUAUAGCCAUUGCCUUAUACUUUUGCGACCAUUGGUUUUAAUAGGGUAAACACCCUCGGGCAAGUUCUGUCAUGGUGCCUAUCAGAUAAUGCUCCUUUUUUCUUCCUUCUGGCUAAUACAUGCAUAUUAUUGAACUGAGUCUUGUUACAUGGAUAAUUAAACAAGCGUUCAUUACUAACGAAGAACUAAUAUCGCCUUUUCCUAAUUCAUUUCGGCUUAAACCAACGGCAAACCGCAAACCAUUGCCCUAUUUCUGCUACACAUCAAGAUCAUCUUAGGAAUGUUGAAAAUCUUCUUCGGUAAUGAAUAAAUCGCAGUUGGUCGUAAAUGAUGGAUACUGACAUCAUGCUCAUGAACAGUCUAAGCCUUCAACAUACGAGUGUUCACAACCAAACGCACGUACGUACUGCUGGGUACCCCCAAACAGGCAAACAUCAAGGAAUGGGGGAUUGCCGUUGUGCGGUGUUUUUAUGGGCCAAGUCAUAGACUAAAACCGAAGGAGUUCAAAAGGAGAAAAAGAAAAAUAUAUGAAAGCUGCUCAUGUCUAGCUCUUUACGUAUCAAAAGGCUACUCCACAAUCCUACUUUUCUCAUUUGUGGGACUUUGACAAUAGAUUACACGCCACAAUGCAUUUUCCUUGUGUUUUUGCUUAUUUGCUUUAGUUUCUUUGGAUUAAUUGUAGACUUCAACGUAAUUAGAGUAGUCUCCGGACUUCUCUAAGCUUGACCUAGUAUGGUCGUUUUGAUUAAUAUCAAUGGAGUAAUUCCGUUAAACGUCAUACCAAAAAAAAAAAAAA